UGAAUAUGUGUUGUUGGGUGUGGUUAGUCGAGGCAUCUGUAUGAGUGGGUUGAGAGAUUUUUUGAGAGCCAGUUAGGGAUUCAAAAUUCGAAUUUCGGAUCGGAUUGUUGAUAGGAAAAAUAUUUUUUAGUUGGCUGGGGAUUCAAAAUUCGAAAUCGAAUUCUAAAUGAAAAAAGGAUACGUAUGAGAUUAUUAGGAGGAAAGAUAUUUUCUAAUUGGUUAGGAAUUUAAAAACUUAAAACUGAGUUUCAUCAUAAUAUUUUUAAAUUGAAUUUCGAGAUGUAGAUGUGGGCUGUCAUCCAAUGGAUUAGGCUGAGUCCAAAUUGGUUGGGCUCACUUCGAUGGAACUGUUGGUUACAAAUAGAAGUAUUCAUUGGGCUGAAAUGAGAUCCGAAUUAUUAAAUAAACUAAAAAAUUUAAUGGGCUUUCAUGAGGCCCACAGUCACGUAUUCAAAUGUGGGGCCAAUUGAAUGGAUUUGAAUUAUUGAUAAGAUUUUUUUUUUUUUUUUUAAGAGAUAGGUAGCACGCUACCUGCUUCAUUUAUUUCAUUUAGAAAUAAACUUAGCUAGAAAUGUGAAUCAACUAGAAUUCGAACUUGAAUCUCGGGUACUAUAAUUUAUUAGAAUUAUAUGUACUAUAAUUUAUCCUAAAUAGAAUCCAAAAAAAUCAAAUAAGUUCAAAUCAAUAUUACGGACCAACCAUAAUCUUUGCUCAUUAUUAUUAUUAUUAUUAUUACUACUUUUGCCCCAAAAGCGUUAAGUAUAUAUUUUUUCUACAUUAUUGAUAUUAAGCGAAAGUCGACUUUUCUCUUAUAAAAGGGAAGAAGUCAAGAGUAGAAAAGUAAGGAAAUAAAGAAGCAUUAAAAGCUAUCACUUAUUCACUUUACAUCAUAGAAUUACUCCCGUCUAAAUAUCCCCCACUAGGAGGAGUCUUUUUCAUGAAAAAAAAAAAGGGAAAAAGUAUUUUUUAUUUAUUUGCUGCCUAAAAUAAAAUAAUUUUCUUAGGAAAAAAAAUUCUAGAUUUUAUGGAAAGUCAAAAAAAAAACUUCUUUAUAAAAAACAUGUACUUCAUCACUUUCUUGGGGGCCUUUGGUCUGGUGUAAAAUAAAUCGAAAAAUUAUUUUCGGUAUAAAUUUUUUUUUUUUGCACUUGUUUGGUUUUAUGGAAAAAUAUUUUCUACAGAUUUAGAAGAAAAUUAAAAAAUUAAAAUUUUUAUCUUCUGCUGAAAAAACGGUGAAAAACAAAAACUCAUGCUGCGUAAAAUUUUUUUCAUUCUUUUUUUAUUUCUGCUGAAGCAUACAAAUAUGAAUUAUUCUUUCCUUCAAUUAAACAAAUAUUGAUGAAAAAUUUUUUCUUCCUUAUAAACUGAAUAUCAUAAAACGUAAAAAAAAAAAAAAAACAAAAAAUUUUUUUCAAAAAAAAAAAUAUUAUGCAAUUCUUCUCCUUCGUAGACUAGACUUUUGUUUGGGGCAUGACCCAAGCCCUUGCGUCACAUUUCGUUGCAUACUCAUGAGUCCUCUAACUAAAAUAAUAAAUAAAUAAAAAUAUAUAAAGUGAUGUGAAUUAUUACUUAUUUUAUUUCAUCUAAUCUAAUUUUUAAAAUUUUUUUAUUUAUUUAAGUUUAAUAAUUUGAUAGCUUUUUGAAUAUAAAGUUUAAGUUAAUUAUUUAUUUUUAUAAAUUUAUAGUUAUGUAAAUUGUAUAAAAUAUAUUAAUCAAAUUCAUGUAAAUAAACAUGGCUUUUAAAUGCGCCACUGACCCACUCAAAUCAAAUAAAAAAUUUAGAUAGCAAAUUUAAAAUUUUAAAUAAUCAAAUCAAAAUGAAGAAUAGUUAAGAUAAAUUUAUACAGUUUACUAAAAAUAAAAAAAAUAAAGAGUUAUAUAAUUAUAGGGCUGUCAAUGAGCCGAACAUGGGCUGGCUCCUGCUCGCUUAUUUAAUAAUGAGUCAAGCACAAGCUGGCUCAUUAAAUAUCGAGUUGAAAACUUAGUUCGUGUUCGGCUUGCUUAUUAACGAGCUGAGCACUAGCCGACUCGCAAAUAAUAAGUUAAUUUGUCGGUCCUAUUACUAGACGAAAGUUUGAAAAAAAAAUAGACGAUUAGGAUCUUAAUCUAAUAAUUAAAAUUCAUAACAUAUAGAUCUCUAAAUUCAAAUAGUAGAAAUUUGUAACAUACAAACAUAUAUAUAGAAUUGAGCUCCUCUGCUUUUAAAAGUACCAAAUUAUUGGCGUUUGUAGGUUUUCGGCCUUUGGAUUAAGUGAUGUGCAAUUAGGAUGACAGUGAUACUCUUAGGAUUGAGUGGAUGGUUAGUUGAAUAAUAUGAUUUGACAGAUAAAAAUUAUCAAAGGGGCUCUAUAUAUAUACAGUAGGGUGCUUCUAAUAGCACCAAAUAUUCGGUGCUACCAAGUUUUCCGCUGUUAGAUCUAUCCCUUUAAUCAUUUUCAUCCGUUAGAUCAUACUAUUCAACCAACCACCAACUUAACUCUAAAGAUCCAUUAUCAUUCAAACCAUACAUUCCUUCAUCCAAGAGCUGAAAACCUAAUAACACCAAUGACUUGGUGCUAUUUAUAGCAUUCCAGUUUAGGCUAUCUAUGAACUAGGCUAGAAUACUAUUAGUAGCACUAAGUUAUUGGUGCUAUUAGUUUUUUAGCUCUUGCAUUAAGAAAUUGCAGUUAGAAUGAUGUGGACCCCCUAGGGUUGAGUGGAUAGUUGGUUCAAUAGUAUAAUCUAACAGAUAAAAAUGAUCGAAGAGUUAAAUCUAACGGUGGAAAACUCGAUAGCAUAAGCCCUUGGUGCUAUCGAUAGUAUCCCACCUAGACUAUAUAUUUAUAUAUUCGAGCAAUAUCGAGAACGAAUACGAGCGAGUUGUUCCCUUCCUCGUGUUUGUCUAAUCAAUGAGCUAAGAAAUUUAGCUAGCUCAUUUAUUUUAUAUAUAGAGAGAGAGACAGAUAGAGUGUGUGUGUGUGCGCGCAUGUGAUAUACUUGUGAAAGUGUGGAAUUCUCCGUACUUCAAAUUUUUCAUACUUUCAAAUCGUUUUCGAUGUUGAGAUUUUCGAAUUGACAACCGACUACGUUAGAUUUGAUCUGAAAUAUUUAAAAUAUUAAAAAAAUAAUUUUUUUAUUUUUUAAUAUUGUUUAUCUAAUGAUCGAAAGAUAUCAAAAUCAAUAAUAUAUAUNAUCAUAGUACAUACUGAAAUACAAAAGUUAGAAAAAUAAAAUUAUGGACCAAAGUAAGUACUAAGGUAAAGAACAAAAUUCAACUAUGUAUGUUUAAUCAACUGAAAUUCACAUUUGCAAUGUUGCAAGUUUCAAUUCAAGAAUAUUCAUACAUAAAUACUAAAAAUUAAUUAUCUUCAAGUCAUGUAAGCAACGAAAUAUCACAAUUGACAACAAAGAAAAACUAAAUAGCGAUAGCAGGGACUCAUGUUGCAUGAAAAUGUAUGUUCAAUUUGAAAAUAACAGUCGUAUCUUAUAUUUUGAUAAAAAAGAACCAAUUCUAGGCUAUUCACCACAUUUGGACGAUAAAAUUCAGGCAUAAUAUAUAGACAAAUCACUCUGAUUUUGAUCUUUUAUUUGUCUCCAAGAGGGGUGAUGUCCUUUAUAGAAUCAAACUCAGAUGCCAUAUCCUGAAAAUAAUAAGACAUUCAAGGAAAAAAGUUAGUACUUACUUCGAAUUUAAGUAAUAAAAUGAAAACAAUAUGUUCUAUUUUAAAACAUCAACAUCUGAGAAUGAAGAAAAACUGGUCAAUAGAUACUUAACUGAAAUGUGCUAAAUAAUGUUAAAUCACGGGACCUUUAGUGUGUGUAUAUAUAUAUAUAUACACACACGCACACUAAUUUGUUAGAAAAGAAAAAAAUCUUAACAGACGUUAGAUACAUAAUUUAAUUUUUUUUAAAGAACUACAAACAUAAUAAAUAACAAAAAGGUGAUUAGCCCUAUAUUAGAUUAUGAAAAUUGUUAAAUACGCUAAACAUAAAGGUUGCCAUAAUUCAAUUAUAUGAAACAACUUAGAAUUCUCCAAACUUGUUUACAAACCUUAAAAAGGCUCAUAAUAAUCAUCCUGUAUGAGAAUAAAAUAUUACUCUGCGGACAAAUUGCAUAUACAACAGCUGGAUUUAUAGAUUACUCCAAGAAUCAUAUGAAAUGCACUUUAAUCAUCAUUAAUAAUAUGGCACGUAGGGAUGUCAACGGGUCGGAUUUGGGUCGGGUUUUUAAAAACCCGAAUCUGAACCUGAAAAUCAAAUUAAAACCCGUACUCGGAUCCGAACCCGACGGGUUUAAAAAUCCAUACCCAUAUCCGUACCCGACCAAAAACCCGAAACCCGAACCCGUACCCGGAUCCGGCAGGUUUUAAAAAUCCAUACCGUUGAAUGAAGAUCUCAGGGAUAAAAAUUAUUAAAUAUUUUAUAUAUUAUAUAUAUAAAUAAAAUAAAGUGUGUGUAUAUAUAUAAUCUAUUCGGGUUCGGGUUCGGGUUGGGUUCGGAUUUGGGUCGGGUAAAUACAAAAUCCAUUCCCGUAUCCAUAUACGUCGGAUUUUUAUUUUCUAUACCCAUAACCAAAUCCAUACCCGUUUAGCUCGGGUAAACUCGCCCCGUUCGGGUUCAGAUUCGGAUAAUAUUUCGGGUAUCCAUACCCAUUGACAUCCCUAAUAGCACACAUAAUUACAUAGCUUAGUAAUGCUUUCAGUCCACUGUUUGCUUCAUAAAUAAAUAACAAAUUAAGAAAUUGUAAAUUACUUAUUGAUGUGCAAAACAAAAUGAAAACUCAAAUUGAUAUUAUCAAAACAUCUUUCACCUCACGUACAACUGUAAAAUAUUGAAAAUUGAUUUUGUAAGAAUGUUUAGUGGUCCUGUAAAAGCCAUUAUUCUGCCCCACUCUAAAUUGGUUGAUCACAUAAACUUUUUCUUCCGUAAAUAGGCCUUUAAAUUUGUACAGGAAAGCUCUUCUUACCGUUGCAUGUAUCCUAUCUCCGUAAAAUAAAAAAUAAAACAAUUAUGUAGUAUCUUUUAGUAAAAACAAAACAAGUAAUAUUUCAGCAAAUAAAAGUUGUAGAUCCUAAAAAUUAUAAGCACUCUCAAGUUAUCAUUUCCUAUUUGACGUGCAUCAUAUAACACAGAACAUUAAUAUGCCUUCAAUAUUGGUUUAAUCAACUGAAAUUCAACAAUGCAUGUUUAAUCAACUGAAGUUCACAUUUAUAAUGUUGCAAGUUUCAAUUCCAGAAUAUUCAUACAUAAAUACUAAAAUUUAAUUAUCUUCAUGUCAGUAUAAGUAACGAAAUAUCACAAUUGACAACAAAGAAAAACUAAGUAGCGAUAGUAGGGACUCAUGUUAUAUGAAAACGUAUGUUCAAUUUUAAAAUAACAAUCGUAUCUUAAAUUUUGAUAAGACCAACUCUAGGUUAUUCACCAUCUUUGAACGAUAAAAUUCAGGUAUAGUAUACAGACAAAUCACUCUGACUUUGAUCUUCCAUUUGUCUCCAAGAGAAGUGAUGCAUGCCACUUAUAGAAUCAAACCCAGGUACCAUAUCCUGAAAACAGUAAAACAUUCAAGAAAAAAAUGUUAGUACUUGCUUCAUAUUUAAGUAUCUAUAACUAUAUAUUAUUCCUCAAUAACUGCACACGUGUCGCGAGGAGGACGCGGCGUGGGCGAGGGCGCGGGUGUGCGUGACGGGGGCGGGAGGGUUCGCGGCGUCGUGGGUGGUGAAGCUGCUCCUCUCCAAUGGCUACAUCGUCCAUGGAACUGUCAGAGACCCAAGUGAGUUUCUUUUCUUUUUUACUUUUUUUAACUCAUCUGGGGAUUUAUUUAUUUAUUUAUUUAUUUAUUUUGGGUUAAAUUAAUUGUGUGAAGAGUUAAGAAGACUAAUCUAGGGAUUCGAUCGAUUUUCGACUCUGCUUGGACGUCAGAAUAAGUCGUGCUUAUAAGAAUUUAUAUAUUUAUUGUGCGAGUUAGAGACAAAAAGCUUGAUUCGUAAUUUUGAUGAAAUAAUAUAUUUCACCUAAGUAUUAAUUAAGUUUAUUUUAUUUAAAAAAUAAAAAUAAUAAUUUUUUUAAAAAAAAAAUAGAUUUUUUGUCGGUACUUUGCGUUUACGGAAUACUAAAAAUAUAUACAGGGGCAUCUAAACGGAGCCCUGAAAAAUAUGAUAUCAGAGCCGGUCCUAAUUCUAGAACCCUUAGUUUCAAGGAGGUUCUGAGUUUGCUUUUUACAUCCGUCAUUUUAUGACAUAUGCCACAGCAGUAGGCAGAUAUGGGCAGAUCCCGCUCAGCGAUAGUGUGGGCGACCAGAUCAAAGAGAGGGAGGACGGACCGCGCGAUAAAAAGAGAACGCGACAUGUAAUCCCAAUUAGAGCUGAACUUUUAAUAUGUCUAUCGAUAAUCGUGCCUAUUUGUCCUAUUAGUUCAUUGUCUUUUCCCGUUAUCUCUUCGGUGCACAAGAGAAAAUAUCCGGCGUGCAUGGGAGUGUGGGGAUUAAGACUAAUAUUAGGAUUCGAUAUCCUCAACUUUUCUUUUCUUUGCUUUUUCUUUUUCUUUUUUUUUUUUUCUUUUUAUUGUUUUCGAUUGUAGCUAGUUCCUGCUUAAUUUGUUUGUUUUUUAAAAUAGCUUAAAUCAAAAAGGAUGAAAAGUUUGUUUAGAAGAUGCCAAAUGGAAAGAAAAAUAGUUGAAGGGUAUAUUUCAAAAGUAGCCAUCUUAUUCUAUUACAAUCUCACAGGGCUCUGUCUUUAGGCUGUUGGACAAGUAAAAUACUGCAACAUGUUCUUGAUGGGUCAAGAGACUCCUUUUAACCAAAGCAACAAAAAAAAAGAAAAAAGAAAAAGAAAAAAAAAGAAGAGGAACAACAGAAAAGUUGUAGAUUGAAGCUUUUAGAGAACAAUAAUUGUUUCGUAUUAUUUAACAUGGUAUCAGAGAACGGGGUCCUUGUCUGACUCAUAAUGUUAAUUAAGUUUCUCCCAUUUAAAUUAAGUUUACGUCUAAGGUAAUCAAAAAAGCCUCGAGCUAAGAUGUGAUUGGGAGUGCUGAAUAUAAAUAUUAAAAAUGUCGUUCCCUAAUAGCUUAAAUUUUUGGAGAAUAAUGAUUGUUUCAUAUAAUUUAACAGAUAGAAUUGAUUGUUUCUUUUCACAUACAUAGUGAUAUGCAUUUUGAGUCCAAGGUGUAUCAAUAUUUAGCUAGGUGCGCAUUUGAUCUUGCAUAUUUUGUUUUAUGUUUGUUAUUCUAUUUUGAACUUUAUGCAUCUAUGCUGCUACAUACUUAGUGAGCUUGUAACUGUUGUUUGCAUCUUAUUCUGUCUGAUGCUCUUCCAUACUUACCAUUAGUUAUUGCCCAAAUUGUUGUAGAUGAUGAGUCAAAGAAUGCCCAUUUGAAGAAAUUGGAGAAUGCUUCAGAAAACCUGCAACUCUUUAAGGCAGACUUACUUGAUUAUAACAGUGUAGCAUCUGCUAUUGCGGGCUGCAAAGGUGUCUUCCAUGUUGCUAGCCCUUUGCCUGCAUCCAAAGCUCCCAAUCCGGAGGUAUAUAUGAUUUGUUGCUUAGUUGCUUUUGUUAGCUGCGUGCUUCAUUAUAUUGCCAUGCAAACUUUAUGAACGUAUGAGUCGCUACACAAGCUCUCACAUGCCAAGUUAGUACGGCAUCGGCAUAUUUGUCACCUGUAGUCUGUAGGUCCAAUCUCAUCUGCUAGCGCUUAUUAGUUGCUUGGUCCGGACGCAUUCAUCGAUUUGAUCUUUUACUGCUGCUAUAGUGUGAUUGAUAGUAUAGGUUGAUCAACAGCUUGUUUUGGCCAAAAUAUUGAUUUCAGAGGAAACCGCUUAAUUAAUGUUGUCGUAGAAACCACUCGCAUGCAUUAAUAUAUCGAAGGCUCACGGAAUGGACAAGUAAGGUAAGCAAUGGGAUACUACCCAUUGAAUUUUAUUAUGAGUGGUGAUUUCACCCAUAAGAUAUAUGUAUGGUGGGAAUUGAACACCACAUUUCAGAUAAUAGAAGGGGCUUAUAUAUGGCUCCGACAUCAUGUUACCUGAAAGAUCGAUUGUAUAGGAUGCGUCCUUGGAAUUGUCUUAAGAGCUAGCAUCAUGUACUCCGUGUUUUUUCAUUCGUUGUUUUAUUCAUUUAUCUAAUAUUCACCUCUCAUUGGAAGGGACUUGAUGUUCUAAUCGAGCGUAGUUAGAUCACGUGCUUUUAACUUUGCAUUUCCGUAUUGCAGGAAGAAAUACUGAAGCCUGCUGUGGAUGGCACUCUAAAUGUGUUGAAAGCAUGUGCUGAGGCAAAAGUCAGGCGAGUUGUUGUGGUAUCAUCAUGUGCGGCUGUUCGAGCGAACCCAAAUUGGCCAAAGGGUAAGAUCAUGGAUGAGAAUUGUUGGUCGGACAAGGACUACCGCAGAAAUACUGAGGUAUCUGGCAAGCCUUUCUAGUGUACUAGUCUGAUUUUUUUUCUAAAGACAGUUGUUGAAAUUAUUCAGUAUUUACUUAUUAUUAUAUUCUGCGCACCACAUGCUUGAAGUCUGUCUGUUUUUUAUAUAUGAGAAUGUUAAAGUACUCCCUUGUUUUGCUGCACUUAGUUACAUGCCUUCUGUUAUGUAGUUGAACUGUCAUGUUGUAACUAUAACCGAGAACCAAUCAUCCUUUGUUGCAAGGUUAUCUACUUCGUGUUGAUAGCAUCUUUUCUAUAUUAAUUUUGUCACGAAUUAAUCAUCUUUAUUGUGCUCUCCAUUAAAUAAUUGUGAAUUCGUGCUCUUCUAUUUAUGUAGAUCUUCUCUACAUCUUCUGGGACUAUAUAAACAUAAACGUCCUGCACGUACCUUCACUUUGUUCAUCCUAGAGUUCCCUUCAUGUAAAUAAGAAUGUACGUACAUGUACAUAUAUGUAGUCUGGUACCGUUUGGUUCGGGUAUAAGCAAGAACUAGCUAUUAUAGGGAUAGGUACAAGUAUGGGGAUAAGAAAAAUAGCGUUUGGAUGAAAAUUGGGUUGUUCCCGAGGAUAAGAAAAAUAUUAGAAAGUUUUAUAUAGAAAAUCGAGGUGUUGGUGGGGAUAACCGAGAACUACUAUUCUCGGGUAAAAAAUUAGCGUUUGGGUAUAAAGGGGGGGAUAAGGGCCUAUCCCUAUCCCUAUUCCCAAACCAAACGGUGCUUUAAUUAGGAACAAGAACAACAAAGCUUUCUCCUGCAGUACUGUACUUGGACAUUCUCUGAAAAAGAUGAAUAGGUGGGUAGGUACUAUUCUGCACUUGUAUAUGUUAAAAACCUAACUACCGAGGAAGAGUACUUAUUGAGAUCAUUCCAUACUAAGAUAGAGCAAGGAUUUCCAAGCCAUCUGCGUUAGACACGGGGCAGAAUGUUUCACUGGUAAUGAAGUAUCGGUAUGAUACAAGUCUCUUCAGGAUAUGGUUUAAAAUCAUUUUUUUUCCACUGUUUUCAGCAAAAGGGUUCGAUGUUUCUAUCCAAAUAUGUACUCUACAAUUCAUACAUUUGAAUGAUUUGAGUUGCUAUCGAGUUGAAGUUGGCCUAGCCUGACAUUAGGUAACUUGCGAAUGCUUAAGGUCUCUGACUUGAAUGCUACUGAUUUAACGACUGUUUCGGGCAGUACAGCGAACUACUCAGCAUCUUAAUUUGGUUGAAAUGAAGUGUUUUGAUCCCAUUAGGUCCAGCAUGGUCCGGUCAAAUUAGAUAUAACAUUCCUAGUAGAAGAUUCUUGAUAACGUAGGAAACAGUGGAGAUGAAGAAAGUGGCUCUUAUGUCAGGUUCUCCGCCUUUGUUACGAUAGUUAUGAACAUAAUUACAAUAUCAGAUGAGCCACAGAAGAAUAUACGGAAAAUGUGAGGAAGUAACUACCUCAUACGGAAGUUUGGUCUUGUAAGGGGUGUUGGGCAUGAUUUUGGCCCAAGAGUGCGUGAUUCUAGCCAAGGUAAAGCACCGGGCUUAUUUAUUGAUUCGAGUCAAGUGUUCUAGUCCUAGUAUUUAGGCUUACAGAAAAAAAAAAAGAAAGCCCCAGUGCAAACUUUACAGAAAAUGUUAGCUCAAGCACGCCUUAAUGCGGCAAACUCCUAAAUGAAUUGGCCCUUCAACAAGUUGGGUUUCUUGGCCUUCUGCCAUUAGACCACUUGCGCCAAUCCAGUCUUUUGGCCUUCCUGGCACGCUGAAUUAUAUCGUGCUCUUUUCUAUCUCAUACUGCUUCAACUCUCUGGUUUUUAUGCUUUAUUUUUGUUGGACUUUUCUUAGUUGAUAUUCUUUCUAUUCCAUAUUUGCGUAUGCUAAAUGUUGUCUGUACUUCCCGGCGCAUUAAAUGUUGUUUGUACUUACUAGCCAGAUUAUUAUGAGGAAUUUCAAUUGUUACUUAAUGAUGUUAUCAGAACUGGUAUGCCCUAUCGAAGAUUCUCGCAGAGAGUGCGGCGUUGGAUUUUGGAGAGAAAAAUGGGCUUGAUGUUGUAACUGUUUGCCCAUGUUGGAUUAUGGGGCCUAUGCUGCAAUCCACUGUAAAUGCUAGCACUUCUAUUUUCGUGAAUCUUCUAAAAGGUAUAGAUGUUAUAAUGAGAUUAUCUCAGUUUAAUUUCAGCUAUGAUGGCAUAGUACAGGUUGCUAAUUGGAUCCACAAUUUUAUAUAUUGCAAGGAGCACUGAGUAUUUGAAUUCCCGUCACUUACGCAACUGUGCUUAUCGCUUUGAAGUUACUACAAUGUUUUCCAAAACAUUUUUCGACCUCAUGUCCUUCCUAUCUUAGUCCCCCUCUCAUCAUCUUCUAACAUUUUCUUUUUCUUUUAAUUUGUGUCGAAAAAAUAUGCACCAUUAACUAGUUAUAAUAGUUACAAUGGGAUUAUGGGUAUUAUUGUUACUGAAACUUUUUAUUGCCAUCUAUUUUAGCAGGCAAUGACAAUGAUAGUUGUCGUGGAAUUUGCCCCUCACUAUACAUUUAAGAUUAUGAACAUAUGCUGCAUAUUUGAUUUCGUCGGUAUCCUCCUCUAGGAUCAAGUGAGACGAUACAGAACAAAGCCCUCGACAUUGUGGAUGUUCGAGACGUCGCCAGUGCUCUGCUUCUGGCGUACGAGAAACCUGAGGCGUCGGGACGGUGCAUAUGCGUCUCGCACCAUAUAAAAACGCGUGAUCUGAUAGACAUGCUAAAGAGGAUGUAUCCCGACUACAACUACCCAAAGAAGUAAACCCAGGCUUGAUCAUGAUCAUCAUGUCACAUAUUUGCUUCCUGCUCCUACGAAUUUUCGCUUCUUUUACUUUUCUUUAUUGUAUAAAUCGCAGCAUUGUCGAAGUAGAUAACGAUGAAGAGACGUAUAGUUCCGAGAAAUUGCAGAAGCUGGGCUGGAAAUUCAGGCCACAGGAGGAGACCCUCAGGGACAGUUUUGAGUGCUAUAAAGCUGCAGGUCUUCUGGAAUAGGAGGAUUAAAAGAGUUUCUUCUCUCAAUGAGUCAUAUUCAAAAGUCUCUCUUUUAUAUUUCCCAAAAAAUAUGCAACAAACAAUGAGUGUGACAAAAUAAUGGUUUCAAUUUGUUGUAAAACUUGUUAAAUACUCGGAUUCUUGGUUGCUUUUAAGCUUUGUUACCAUGUGUAUUUGCAGCUGAGGUCAAUUAAAAAGGGAACAAAAUAUUAUACAUGUUGGAAUAAUCUCUUGUGCUCCUAGCUUCAUGCUGAUCCAUAUUAGGCUUAGUUUGGUAUUGAGAUCAAUCCAAUGCUAUUCGAUAGAAUGGAGUUGAGAAAAAGCAUAUAGUGAUAUGCUUCUGCGUUUUCCGAUGGGACCGUAGAAAAUGUAUCGUAACCGACUAACCGCAAUAUAAAACAAACAGUAUUUUUUCAUCCUCGUUUCUCACUGCACGUAACGCAAUCUCCUCGCAAUCCCAAACGAAACCUUAGUUUGUGACAUUAUUAUCGCUAGUCAAGUCAAAGACUAAGGUUUCGCUUGAGAUUGCGAGGAGAUUGCGUUACAUAUGAAAAAUAUUCUGGUUGUUUCUGUACGUAAUAUUGCGUUCCGCAUAUCGCGAUGAGUCGAUUACGAUAUAUUUCUGCGGUCGCAUCGGAGAACGCAGAAGUAUAUCCCUAUAUACUUUUAUCCCAACUCUAUUUUAUCUAAUAGCAUCAUGUAAGUCUCAAUACCAAACUAAACCUAAGAUUUCAAACUGGGCUGAACUUUUCCAUCUCUCCAAUAUUUUGGAGUUGUGGGGCUGAGAUUAAUCCACCUAAUAAUACCUUGUUAAAUAAAUUAUUUAAUUACGACUGCUCAAUUAGGGGAUUUAGAUUGGUUUAAUGAAUUGUCAAUGAGCAAUAUACGGCUUUUGUUGAGAAACCAAAAGUGGUGAUAUAACAUAUCUUAAAUUAUUAAUCCAGUACACUGAAUCUUGUUACCAAGAGCCGUUCGAUUCUUUUAAAGUGAUCAGUGGUUGUCAAUUUUUUAUGAAAAAGUCUUUUUUUCAUCUUUCUAAUUUUUUUUAUCUGAAAAUUAAAAAUUAUAGAAAGUGUGUUUUUCAUUAAAAAUAAAAAACACUUUUUGAAAUAUACUUUUUUGCAGAAGUGCCCAUCUUUUUCACAUGAUCUUCUUUAGUACGUUGUUCAAGCACAAUGUAUUUCACAACAAAACAAAAGAGUUUAAUAAUAGAUAUAUUUAUAAUAGUCGCGUUAAUUUUACAUCCUGAAUUUUGUAUGUCUUUAUAUAUAAUAAUAUAAAUAUAUAUAUAUAUAUAUAUAGUAUAUAUAUAUAUAUAUAUAUAUAUAAUAUAUAUAACUAUGGCUUAUCAAAUUUUUCUGUUCAUCACUAAACUCGAAAAGUUUUUGUAAAUUCUUAAAUCCAAAAGUGUAAAAUUUAUAAUCUGAUAUAGGGUGUAUCGACAGCAUUUUGGUUUCUAAUUAAGCAUUUUGGUCUCAAAAUUAUCAAUCUUGAGACCUUUUGAUCACUAGCCAAAUGAUAUCAAAAAAUUAUAAAAUUUAAUUUUCAAAUACUUUUAAUAGUGUAGGUUAAGUCUAACGGAGCCGAUCGUCGAUUUAGAAGCCGCAUCAUUGAAAACAACUUGGUAGCACACAGGCCUCCGUGCUACCCAGUUGUUUUCAAUGAUGCGGCUUCCAAAUGGACGAUCGAUUCCGUUAAACUUGAUCUAUACUAUUUAUAUUCGAGUUAUAUCGAACUGAACACGAAAGAGCUGAUUUUAGCUCGUGCUCGACUCAUUAAGAUUCCGAGCUGAAAAAUUCAGGUAGUAUUCGGCUGUAUAUUAUAUAAAUUCAAGUUAUAUUAAGCUAAACACAAUUAUACACAUUCAAGUUCAACUAAAACGAGCACGAUUUGUUAUAUAACGUGAUCGUGUUGUUAAGAUUUCGUAGUAAAAAGUUCAACUAAAAUGAACGAUCGGUCUCAAGCUUUUUUUCAAAUCGAGUACAAGCUGCUUGGCAAAAACUAUGUCAAAUAUAAAAAUAUUUAAAUACUAUUUUCUAUCGACUUAAACUUCAGUGUUUGGUUAGGGGAUAGGGAUAGGGAUAAACCCUUAUCCCUUUUAUAUCCAAACAUUAAUUUUUUACCCGAGAAGAGUAGUUCUCGAUUACCUAUAAUAACCGGUUAUAACUAUCCCCCACCAACAUCUCUAUUUUUUAUAUAAAACUAUCUAAUAUUUUUCUUAUUCCAUAUUAUCUAUCCAAAUGCUAUUUUUCUUAUCAACGGAAACAACCCAAUUUUCAUCCAAACGUUAUUUUUCUUAUCCCCAUACUUGUACCUAUCCUGUAAUAAUUAGUUCUUGCUUAUAUCCGAACCAAACGGUAAUAUAAAUAUUAUUUCACAAAACACAUGAGUUCUAGCGCAGCCAUAUAUAAUAGGCAGCCUGCUCAAUGCCAAGUCUAGCCUCAUUAAGAAAUUUUUUUUUCCAAUCUAGCCUGCUUUUCAAAAAAUCCCUAAUUUAGCCUCUUUUUGGUAGAUUAAAAAACAAAAGAUGACUUAAUAGUAUUUAUAUGCAAAUUAGGAGAGAGAAAAAUUUUUCACUCUCCUCCCAACCUACUAAUAUUUAAAAAUAAUUAAUUUUUAUUAUAAUAAUAAUUAAAAAAUUAAUAUUUAAUAAUAAUAAAUGUUAUUAUUACUAAAUGUUUUUUUGAGAGAGAAAGAUAGCAGCAUACUACUCGCUUCAUUUAUUUCGUUUAAAAAUAAUCUUAGCUAGAAAUGUGAAUCAACUAUAAUUCAAACUUAGAAUCUCAAGUACCAACCAUCGAUUCCUUUGUCACUUACACUAGGAACAAUUAAUUACUAAAUAAUAAUUAUUAGGGUUAUUUGCAUACAGGUCCCUGUAAACAUAGUGAAUUGCGGAAAUAUCCCUGCAAAACGGAAACUCCAUAAGUUGUCCCUGCAAAAGUCCUAAGUUAUGCAGAUAUGUCCCUGCCGUCCAGAUCUGUUAGAAAUUUUUCGUUAAUCACGGUUAAAAUACUUAACCGUGGUUAAUUAUAGUGUAAAUUGACGUAUUUACCCUUCUUCCUCUUCCUCCUCUUCCUCUUCCUUCUUCUUCGUCGCCGGCGAGGAGAUGCUGCGGCGGCGGCGACGGCGGCGGCGGCGACGGCGGCGGCGGCGGCGACGACGAACCCUCUUACUUUUCCUCUUCCCUCUUCCUCUUUUCCCUUCUUUUUCCUUCUUCUUUCUUCCUCUUCCUCUUCCAUCUUCUUCGUCACCGGCGAGGGAGAAGAGUCUCGUCGGGGUCGGCCUCCGAAAGGCGGGCGAGAAGCUCGAGGGCGUUGUUGUCAACAAGGGCGGCGACGAGGGCGUGCGCGGGGUCGUCGUGGUCGCCGAGGACGUCGGUGUCGGUGAGGUCGGUGAGGAGGGAGACGACGUCGACGGCGAUGUCGGCGAUGUCGUGGCCGAGGAGGCCAACGAGGGAGAGGACGGCGUUGAGGGCGACGAGCUCCGGGUAGAGAGCUCCGGUGCCCCGGCGUUCUUCCCUCUUCUUCGUCGCCGGCGAACCCGACCCCGCGCCGCCGCCGCCGUCGUCCGCUUCGAUGAUCCGAAGAGGAAGAGAAAGAGAAGGGAAGAGGAAAACUUUUGGAGGGAUAUAUUUGUGAGGGUAAAAUGGUCAUUUCACGAAUCCACUGUUAAAAAAUAAACAGAUCACUAACGGAUGUUAACCGGAGGGACAUAUCUGCAUAACUUAAGACUUUUGCAGGGACAACUUAUGGAGUUUCCGUUUUGCAGGGAUAUUUCCGUAAUUGGCUAUGUUUGCAGGGAGCUGUAUGCAUUUGACCCUAAUUAUUAUAAUUAUUAUUUUUAUUAUUAGUAUCUAAUUUGACUAUACAAGCUAAUAUGAUCAAAUUUGACAUGUAUAGUCAAUUAAAUACUAAUAAUAAUAAAUUAAUAAUAAUAAUAAUAAUAAUAAAAUUAUCAAUAAGUACUAAUAAUAUUGUUAUACGUUAUUAUUAAAUAUUAAAAUUUAAUUAUUGUUUUUUUUAAAUAUUGUUAUAUGUUAUUAUUAAAUAUUAAAAUUUAAUUAUUAUUAUUUUUUUUGAGAGAUAGAUAGCACGCUACCUGUUUUGCUUAUUUCAUUUAGAAAUAAACUUAACCAGAAAUGUGAAUCAACUAGGAUUCGAAAUUGGGUCUCGAGUACCAACCAUCAAAUCAUUUGCCACUUACUCUAGGGACGGUCAGUAAUUAUUGUUAUUAUUAUAAAAAUUAAUUAUUUUUAAAUAUCAGUAUGUUGAGACUUGAGAGGAAAGAGAGAGAACAUUUCCCUCUCCUCUGCUAUUUUCUAACCCAUCAAAAGAAAGGCUAGAGUAGAAAUUUUUUUUUGAAAAAAAAAAAUGCUAAGAUUGAAUUUUUUUUUUUUUUGUUUGGGAAAACUUCAAAAACCCCCUCUGUGGUUUCGUAGUUUCUAACUUUGCCACCAUGUGGUUUAAAAUGUAUCAAUACGCCCCCUGUGGUUUCUUUUUUCUUUUUUUCAUAUCAAUUUUAUUUUUUUUUUUCUUAAAUCAAUGAUAAAGUUAAAAUUAAAGGGUACUAAAGUGAAUAUUUGAUAAAUCUAGAUGAAUAUCUAAAGUUUUUUAUAUAUAAUUAAUAAAAUAUUAACGAAAAAGCUACCGAAAAGAUAAAAUUAAAACCACAGAAAGGCAAUUUGAUAUAUUUUAAAUCACAGGGGAUGAAGUGAGAAACUAUGAAACCACAUGGUUUUUUUUGAAGUUUUCCCCUUUUUUUUUCAACAAUGCCAGAUAUGGCAUUAGUUCCUCUUCCACACUCCACUAGAGACAGUGAGACAGAGUUCUCAGAAACCACCAAAGCGAACGACGAAUCCCUCCAUUGCUAUGAUAUGAUAAUAUAUAUAUAUAUAUAUAGAGAGAGAGAGAGAGAGAGAGAGAGAGAGAGAGAGUGUGUGUGUGUGUGUGGAGAGAGAGAGAGAGAGAGAGAGAGAGAGAAGAGAAGAGAAGGCGAAGAAGAGAGGGAGAAGGAGACCAUGGCGGCGGCGGCGGCGAUUGGGGAGGGGAAGGGGAAGGAGAGGGUGUGCGUGACGGGGGCGGGAGGGUUCGCGGCGUCGUGGGUGGUGAAGUUGCUCCUCAACAAUGGCUACAUCGUCCAUGGAACUGUGAGAGACCCAAGUGAGGGUUUUUUUUAACUCUUUUCUUUUUUUAGUUUCAUAAGAAAUUCGAUCUAACUUCAUCUGGGGCUUGAUUGAUUGAUUGAUUGAUUGAUGGAUUGACCUUGGUUAAAUUGUGCGAUGCGUUAAGACUAAUCUAAGGAUACGACAUUAUUUUUUUUUUGACUCUGUUUGAACGUCAGGAUAAGCCGUGCGUAUAAGAAUUUCCAUUUAUUGCGUGAUUAGAAGCAAAAAGUUGAAUUCGUAAUUUAUUUUAUUUAAAAAAUGACUUCAAGUUCGGAUAUAAUACUUUCUUUCUAAAUGAAUUUUUAAUCACACUUCGCGUCUAUCAAAUAUCUUGUGUAAAUAAAAGAGAUAUAUUGGUUGAGAUACAAGGGCGUCCAAACUGGGCCCUGAAAAAUAUGGUAUUAGGGCCAGUUCUAGACUUCCUCAUUCUCUAAUAGCUUAAGCUUUUGAAGAACAAUAGCUGUUUAGUCCAGAAUGCUAUCAAUAAUCAGCGAUGCAUUUUGUCUGUGCAUAUUUUGUUUCAUGUGUGUAUUUUGAUUUUCAAUUUAUGUAUCAAUUCUGCUGAAUAUAUAUUUGUACUCCAGCUGGUAUACUCUUAUAAGUACGAUCGCCUUCGUACUCAUAAGUCGUUUUUUAUGAUGGAACUUUCGAAUCAACGAUUCAUAUCGUUAAAUAUGAUUUAGAGCAUUUGAAAUUUCUAGAAAUCAAAUUUUAUAAUUUUUCGAUGUUCAUUUACCUUAUGAUCAAAAGAUCUCAAAAUUGAUAAUUUUUACGGCCGGUAUGGGAUACUUGCUAGUUCAACGAUGCAAAAGAAUCGAAAAUGAUUGAAAUUUUGAUCGAAAAUUCUAUUCAUUAUCUAGAUAAAGGUCAAUAACUCCGAUCUUAAAUUGAAGGAUCGAUCAUCCAUUUUUAGGAGGUAAUUUAAUUUUGACCGUUCAUUUAUACCUGCUUAAUGUACUUUAUUAUGAUUUUGAAAAAUUAUAAAAUUCAUUUUCUUGAAGUUUAAAAUUAAUCUAAAUUAUAUUUAAUAGUGUGGAUCGUCGAUUUGGAAAUUCCAUCAUUAAAAAUAACUUACAAAGACAAAGAGCUAGCCUAACUCUCUCUCUCUCCCUCUCUCUCUCUCUCUCUCUCUCUCUCUCUCUAUAUAUAUAUAUAUAUAUAUAUAUAUAUAUGUAAGCUAACUGUUGUUUGCAUCUUAUCCUGCCUGAUGCUCUUCCAUACUUACCCUUAGUUACUGCACAAAUUGUUCUAGGUGAUGAAUCAAAGAAUGCCCAUUUGAAGAAAUUGGAGAAUGCUUUAGAAAACCUGCAACUCUUUAAGGCAGACUUACUAGAUUAUAACAGUGUAGCAUCUGCUAUUGCGGGCUGCGAAGGUGUCUUCCACGUUGCUAGCCCUGUUCCUGCAUCCAAAGUUCCCAAUCCGGAGGUACGAUUUGUUGCUUCGUUGCUUCGUUGCUUUCACAUGCCAAAUUAGUAUUGCAUCGGCAUAUUUAUCGCCUGUACUUGUAUAUGUUAGGCUCUGCCCUACGAGUUGAAGGUCUUUGUAAAAGGAAAAGGUGACAAUGAAAUGCUCGAACACGGGUUUUUUAAACCGAUUAUUUAUUGUCCUACCAACUUGUCUUACCUCCUCCUUCCUUUGGUGCCUAGUCUAUAGGUCCAAUCUCAUCUGCUAGCGCUUAUUAGUUGCUUGGUCUGGACGCAUUCAUCGAUUUGAUCUUUUACUACUGCUAUAGUGUGAUUGCGUGCUAAGAGUCUACUGUAAGGCUAUGGAGUGAGGUGCUUUGAUAGUGUAGAUUGAUCAAUAGCUUGUUUUGGCCGAAAAAUCAAUUUGAUAGGAAACAACUCAUUGUUGUCAUAGAAUGCACCCCCGUGCAUAAAGGUACCGAAGGCUCACAGAAUGGACAAGUAAGGUAAGAAACGGGAUACUACCAAUUGAAUUUUAAUAUGGGGAUUUCAACCAUAAGAUAUGUGUAUGGGUGUUGAACUCACAUGUCAAAUAAUUUAUGGGGCUUAUAUAUGGCUCCGACAUCUUGUUACCUGAAAGAUCGAUUGUAUAGGAUGCGUCCUUGGAAUUGUCUUAAGAGCUAGCAUGAUGUACUUUGUGUUUUUUAAUCCAUUAUUUUAUUUGUUUAUCUAAUAUUCACCUCUCAUUGGAAGGGACUUGAUGUUCUAAUCUAGUGUAGUUAGAUCACGUGCUUUUAACUUUGCAUUUCCGUAUUGCAGGAAGAAAUGCUGAAGCCUGCUGUGGAUGGCACUCUAAAUGUGUUGAAAGCGUGUGCUGAGGCAAAAGUUAGGCGAGUUGUUGUGGUAUCAUCAUGUGCGGCUGUUCGAGCGAACCCAAAUUGGCCAAAGGGUAAGAUCAUGGAUGAGAAUUGUUGGUCAGACAAGGACUACUGCACAGAUACUGAGGUAUCUGGCAAGACUUUCUAGUCUACUAGUUUUUACCGUGCUAAAUUUAUUUUAAAGACAGUUGUUGAAAUUAUUUAGUAUUUUCUUAUUAUUAUGUUCUACACACUGCAUGCUUGAAGUCUGUCUGUUUUUUAUACAUGAGAAUGUUUAAGUAUUCCUUGUUUUGCUGCACUUAGUUACAUGCCUUCAGUUAUGUAAUUGAACUGUCAUGUUGUAAUAAUAAGCGAGAACCGAUCCUCCUCUGUUGCAAGGUUAUCCACUUCGUAUUGAUUGCAUCUUUUAUAUAUUAAUUUUAUCAGGAAUUAAUCAUCUUUAUUGUGCUCUCCAUUAAAUAAUAUGCUGAAUUUAUGCUUUUCUAUAUAUGUAGAGCUUCUCUGAAAAAGAUCAAUAUAGGUGGUAGGUGCUAUUCUGCACUUGUAUAUGUAAAAAACCAAUAUGAUAAGAUAGAGCAAGGAUUUCCGAGCCAUCUGAUUAGACACAGGGCCGAAUGUUUCUCUGGUAAUGAAAAUAUCGGCAUGAUACAAGUCUCUUCAGGAUAUGGGUUGAAAAUCAUUUUUUUCCACUUUUUCAGCUAAAACAGUUCAAUGUUUCUUUCCAAACGUGUAUUCUACAAUUCAUACAUUUGAACGAUUUGAUUUGAUAUAUUGAUGAUUGAUUUACAAAAAUGCCAACUCCCACAAUUUGUGAUCCUUGAUUCAAUGACUCCAAUUUCUUUAUAGAUUAGAGUAACUAGCAGUAUUUUUCAGGUUUAUUCAUUGCAAACAUCACAAAAAUUCAUUUGCAUGAAAAAAAAAAAAAUUCACUCUCCUCGAUAGGUUGGGUGCUCUUAGGGGUGUUAAGAUGUUGUGUUCAGUCUACAUCUAGUCGCCUGCUUGACUUGCAGUUGGCCUAGCCUGACAUCAGCUAACUUGAGAAUGCUUAAGGUUUCUGGCUUGAAUGCUACUGAUUUAACAACUGUUUUGGGCAGUACAGCGAACUACCCAACAUCUUAAUUUGGUUGAAAUGAAGUGUUUUGAUCCCAGUAGGUCCAGCAUGGUCAGGUCAAAUUAGAUAUAACAUUCCUAGUAGAAGAUUCUUGAUAACAUAGGAAACAGUGGAGAUGAAGAAAGUGGCUCUUAUGUCAGGAUCAUCGCCUUUGUUACAAUAGUGAUGAACAUAAUUACAAUACAAAGAUGAGGGACAGAAUAGUAUAUGGAAAAAGUGAGGAAGUAACAACUUCAUAAGGAAGUCUGGUCUUAUAGGGGGUGUUGGGCAUGAUUUUGGACCAAGAGUGCAUGAUUCUACCCAAGGUAAAGCACCAGGCUUAUUUAAUGAUUCGAGUCAAGUGUUCUAGUCCUAGUAUUUAGGCUUACAGAAAAAAAAAAAGAAAGCCCCAGUGCAAACUUUACAGAAAAUGUUAGCUCAAGCACGCCUUAAUGCGGCAAACUCCUAAAUGAAAUGGCCCUUCAACAAGUUGGGUUUCUUGGCCUUCUGCCUUUAGACUAGUGCCAGUCCAGUCUUUUGGCCUUCCUGGCACGUUGAAUUAUAUCGUGCUCUUUUUUGUUUCAUACUGCUUCCACUCUCCAGUUUUAUGCUUUAUUUUUGUCGGCCUUCUCUUAGUUGAUAUUCUUUCUAUUCCAUAUUUCCAUAUACUAAAUAUUGUUUGUACUUACUAGCCCAUUAAAUAUUUUCUGUAUUACCUGGCCAGAUUAUGAGUAAUUUCAAUUGUUACUUAAUGAUGUUAUCAGAACUGGUAUCGCCUAUCAAAGACGCUCGCAGAGAGUGAGGCAUUGGAUUUUGGAGAGAAAAAUGGGCUUGAUGUUGUAACUAUUUGCCCGUGUCUGAUUAUUGGACCCUUACUGCAAUCCACUGUAAAUGCUAGCAGUUCUCUUCUCAUCAAUCUUCUAAAAGGUAUAGAUUUUAUUAUGAGAUUAUCUUCGUUUACUAUCAGCUAUGAUGGAACAGUACAAGUUGAUAACUGGAUCAACAAUUUUAUAUAUUGCAAGGAGCACCGAGUAUUUGAAUUCCCGUCACUUGGUAAAAAAAAAUUUAUGCUGCAUAUCUGAUUUCAUUGGAAUCCUCCUCUAGGAGCAAGUGAGACGGUAGAGAACAAAGCCCAUCACAUUGUGGAUGUUCGAGACGUCGCCAGUGCUCUGCUUCUGGUGUACGAGAAGCCUGAGGCGUCGGGACGGUACUUGUGCGUCUCGCACCGUAUAAAAACGUGUGAUCUGAUAGACAUGAUAAAGAGGAUGUAUCCCAACUACAACUACCCUACAAAGUAAACCUAGGCUUGAUCAUCAUUUCACAUAUUUGCUUCUUGCUCCUGUGAAUUUACACUUAUUUAGCUUCUCUUCAUCAUAUGAAUUGCAGCAUUGUCGAAGUAGAUGAUGAUGAAGUGACGAUUAGUUCUGAGAAAUUACAGAAGCUGGGCUGGAAAUUCAGGCCACUGGAGGAGACCCUCAGAGACAGUGUUGAGUACUACAAAGCUGCAGGUCUUCUGGAAUAGAAGGAUUAAAAGAGAUUCAUAUUUCAAGUUCCCCUUUUACACUUUACAGAUAAUAUGCACUGUAUGUGGUUUAAUAAUAGUUUCAAUUGUCGGUUGCUCUUUAGCUUCACUUUCAUGCAUGUUCCUAGCUAAGGUCAAUUAAAAAAUGGAACAAAAUAUUGUACUUGAUUUGAAAUGUAGGAUGAGGUUUUCCUGAAAAAUAAUCUACUUCAUGCUGUGCAUAUCAGUAUGUAACAUUGUUGCUGCCUAACUAUUGUUGGAAGAGCUUCAAUUGGUGCUAUUUUAUAGAGAUUGAUUGAUUGAUUGAUUGAUUCCUUUUAAAAGGUUUGUAAUAUUCUCUCUACUUCAAGCAUGAAUUGUAUACUCAAGUGAUUUAACAACAUUGUUAAUCACUUUUUACCUUCCAAAAUUAGUAAACCCCAUUUGCUUAUCCACCCCAAUUUCAUGGGUGCAUGUUUGUAUCUGAUCGAUGGUGCAAAACUUUUGAACUCUUUAAGUGUAGUGAAAAAGUUAUUCUAAAUUCAACUUUUUGUUCAUUCAUUCGUUUUGAUAAAAGUUAUUUGCCUAAAAUAAAGUUUUAUCACUUCCGUUGCACGAUGUGCAAGAGUGCGAGGGGUUUAUAUAUGAUGAGCGCAUUAAAACUAAUUAUUAAGCUCCGUAGUUUGAGCUUAAUAAAUUAUUAGUGCUAGUUGGUCGACAAGGUCGUUAUAGUUUUCUACUUACAUAGUUACGCCAAAACAAAUAUAAAAAACUAUAGAUUAAUUUUAUAUAGAUUCCUGUAAAUAUAGUAAAUGACAAAUAUAUCCUUACAAAGUUUAAUUUUCAUAUGUUGUUUCUUUAAAAGUUUCGAUGUUUUCAAAUAUGUUCAUCUGGUUUAUUAUCGUCGGAAAAUUAUUUAUAUUUUUAAUUUUGCCAUCAUAAAUAUGUCCCUUCAAAAAUCAUAACAGUAUAAGUUUCUAGAUUUUAAGUUCGAAACUUUUAGUGACUUUAUGUUUCUAGCUGAGUUCAUUAAUUUAAAGGAUGAACAAAAUUGGAAAUUUUCUAUCUUUUUUAGAAAAAAUAAAUAAACAAACAAACACAGGUGUAAAAAAUAAAAUUGUAGUUUUAAACAUUUAUUUGUACAUGCUUCAUUACUUGUGAACCUGACAGCUAAUAUUUAAUAAUAAGUAGAGAGAGAGAGAGAGUGCGCGCGCAAGGGAGGAGGGAGUCUCCUAUGUCAUAUUUAGGACCUCUUUGGAUACACAGUAAAAUAUCUUCACGAAAUUUAUAAACUGUGGUUUCGGUCUAGAUAAAAUAGAGAAUUCUGCAACUCUAAAAAAUUUCACGGAUUCAAUUUUUAAACUGUUUGGAUACGCAUUGUACAAUUUCACAGGAUUUUUCUAAAUUUUAAGAUUAAAAGUUAAAAUUUAAAAUUUCAAAAAAAAUUUAAAAUUUAAAAUUUGANNNNNNNNNNNNNNNNNNNNNNNNNNNNNNNNNNNNNNNNNNNNNNNNNNNNNNNNNNNNNNNNNNNNNNNNNNNNNNNNNNNNNNNNNNNNNNNNNNNNNNNNNNNNNNNNNNNNNNNNNNNNNNNNNNNNNNNNNNNNNNNNNNNNNNNNNNNNNNNNNNNNNNNNNNNNNNNNNNNNNNNNNNNNNNNNNNNNNNNNNNNNNNNNNNNNNNNNNNNNNNNNNNNNNNNNNNNNNNNNNNNNNNNNNNNNNNNNNNNNNNNNNNNNNNNNNNNNNNNNNNNNNNNNNNNNNNNNNNNNNNNNNNNNNNNNNNNNNNNNNNNNNNNNNNNNNNNNNNNNNNNNNNNNNNNNNNNNNNNNNNNNNNNNNNNNNNNNNNNNNNNNNNNNNNNNNNNNNNNNNNNNNNNNNNNNNNNNNNNNNNNNNNNNNNNNNNNNNNNNNNNNNNNNNNNNNNNNNNNNNNNNNNNNNNNNNNNNNNNNNNNNNNNNNNNNNNNNNNNNNNNNNNNNNNNNNNNNNNNNNNNNNNNNNNNNNNNNNNNNNNNNNNNNNNNNNNNNNNNNNNNNNNNNNNNNNNNNNNNNNNNNNNNNNNNNNNNNNNNNNNNNNNNNNNNNNNNNNNNNNNNNNNNNNNNNNNNNNNNNNNNNNNNNNNNNNNNNNNNNNNNNNNNNNNNNNNNNNNNNNNNNNNNNNNNNNNNNNNNNNNNNNNNNNNNNNNNNNNNNNNNNNNNNNNNNNNNNNNNNNNNNNNNNNNNNNNNNNNNNNNNNNNNNNNNNNNNNNNNNNNNNNNNNNNNNUUUAAAUUUUAAAUUUUAAAUUUUAAAUUUUAAAUUUUAAAUUUUAAAUUUAAAAAAAAUAAAUUUAAAAUUUAAAGUUUAAAAUUUGAAAUUUGAAAUUUAAAUUUGAAAUAUGAAAUUUGAAAUUUAGAUUUGAAAUUUGAAAUUUGAAAUUUAAAGUUUGAAAUUUAAAAUUUAAAAUUUAAAAUUUAAAAUUUUAAAUUUCAAAUUUUAAUUGAAAAUUUCAAAUGUGAUAUUUCAAAUUUCAAACUUUAAAUUUUAAAUCUAUUUUGAAAUUUAAAAUUUAUGUUGAAAUUUAAAAUUUUAUGUUGAAAUUUAAAAGGAUAUUUUUCCUACCGCCGUAGCAUAGUUUAACUAUGCUACAUUUUCAGGAGUAUCCAAACGGGGCAUUAUACUACAUCAUUAAUAAUCAGCCAAUCACACCUCACUUUUUAAGAAAAAAUUUAUAUUAUUUUUUUUAAUAAUCAUGAUGAGGCGAGUGAAUUCAAAAAAAAUAUUCGGAUUGGCCGGAGACGCCACAUCAGUAUUAUAACUGACAUAUUCUAAACUGUUUUGGUAAGUUUUUUGAAAAAAAAAAAAGUAGAUUGAAAAUAUUUUUUUUUUCAAUAAAGCUAAGAUAUGGCAUUGAAUUUUUUUUUGCCUAAUCCUUAUCCACUUAUCCUUUUAAACAAACAAAGAGCACGUGUUUGUUCUUUUUGUUCUUGUGCCUUUUUUUUUCCAUUUUUUAAAUUUUAUUUUAGAGAGGAAAUGAUCCAAGCCCUUACGUCACAUUUGGUUGCACUCUGUGAGCCCCAUUUAUUAACAAACUGAUCGUAAAUUGUUUUUUUAAAAUAUUAAGUUACAAAUUUAAUUUUUAUUUGGUUUAUUAAUUAACAAGUUGCUAUCACAAACUGAUUCGCAAACAGUCAAUUAAAUUUUCAAUCUUACUAUUAAAUAAAACAUAAUAAAUUUUAAUUUUAAUUUAGUAAUUAAGAUUUAUAAAAUGUAGGCAUCUUUACAAUUAGAUUGGCCUAAAAUCUAAAUAGUAACAAUUUAUUAUAUAUAUAUAUAUAUAGUACAGUUAGAAUAUUAUUGGUAGUAUGAAACCAGUAUUUACUAUUAGCUUUUUGUUCAUUGAAUGUCUAUCAUUUAAUAGAAGUUGGUGAAAUAAUAAUAAUUUAAAAAUAAAAAAGUUGUUGUACUACGCCGAAUACGGGCAAAUUAAUUUCAACUCACGUACGAUUUGUUAAAAUUUUGAGUUGAAAAUUUCGAUUCGUAUUCGGCUCAUUUACUAAAAGAGCAACUAAAUAAGAAGCAAAACACGGGCCACCUCACGAAUAGCGUGCUAGAUUACCAGCCCUCCCAUCCACAUAAGAAAGUCUACAGUGUCACACUUACACCACCACAUCAUCAGUAAUAAAUUAAUUAUAUUUUUUUUCUUAAAAAAAAUAAUAAUAAUACUUUUCUAUCAAUUAAGAUGGAACGGAUGAAUCCAGAGAGGACAAACCUGUUGCUUGGAAACACCACGUCGGCAAUAUAAUUAGUGCAUUGUAGAACUUUUCCAUCACAUGCGCGCGCGCACACACACCACUUUGGCGGUUUCUCCUCUCCACAAGAGUUCUCAGGGAAACCAUCAUACAAGUCCUUGUAAAAAUAAUAAAUUAUAAAUAUAUUUCUACAAACUUCAAUUUUUUAACUUUGUUUCUACAAAAGUCCUAGUAUUUUCAAAUAUGUCCCUUUAGUUUGUUAUGAUUAAAGUAUUGUCUAUUUUACAAGUAAAAUUAUUUUUUUACCAUCACAAAUAUGUCCCUCUAAAAGUUCAAAUUAUUAAUUAAAAAGGGGUAAAAAAGGUAAAUUCACCUCAUGAACUAGCUACGGUUAAGUAUUUAACUUAUGGUUAACUAAAUUUUUUAAACGGAUUAUAACGAUAGGGACAUAUUUGAAAAUAUCAGAAUUUUUACAGAAAUAAUAUAUGAAAGUUGAAUUUUAUAGGAAUUGAUCUGUAAUUCACUAUGUUCGAAGGUACCUAUAUGCAAUUAACCUUAUAUUAUAUAUAUAGUAUACAUAGACAGAGAGAAUGUGUGUGUGCGUGUGUGGAGAGAGAGAGAGAGAGAGAAAGAAGAGAGGGAGAAGGAGAACAUGGCGGCGGCGGCGGCGGCGGCGGCGAUUGGGAAGGGGAAGGGGAAGGAGAGGGUGUGCGUGACGGGGGCGGGAGGGUUCGCGGCGUCGUGGGUGGUGAAGCUGCUCCUCAACAAUGGCUACAUCGUUCACGGAACUGUCAGAGACCCAAGUGAGUUUCUUUUUGGGAAAACUUCAAAAACCCCCCGUGGUUUCGUAGUUUCUCACUUUGCCUCCCUGUGAUUUAAAAUGUAUCAAUUUGCCUCUCCGUGGUUUCUUUUUUUUCUUUUUUUUAUCAAUUUUAUUAUUAUUUUUUUUAAAUCAGUGAUAAAGGUAAUUUAAAGAUACUAAAAUGAAUAUUUGAUAAAAUGGAUAUCUGAAGUUUUUUUGUAUAUAAUUUAAUGAAAUAUUAACGAAAAAACUAUCGAAAAGAUAAAAAUGAAACCACAUGGAUGCAAUUUGAUACAUUUUNUUUUUUUUUUACUUUUUUCCCCACCUUUUGUUCUUAGUUUCAUAAAAAGUUCGAUGCAAUUUCAUCUGGGUAUGUUUUUCGUUGACUAAAUCAGAACUUUCGUGCAUGAUUAGAAGUAAAAAAGUUUGAUUUUUGGGUUGCGGCGACCGUGAUUUGAUAGAACGACAUAUUUCACCUGAUAAUUCAAAUUCAUCUUGUUUGGAAAAAAUGGUCGAAUAGUUAUUUGAUUACACUCUUCGUCUACUAAAUACUACGUUACUCCGGUAGUUGAGAGGAAUCUGAUGGUUUAAGUGAGCCAGCAUCCUGUCCUGUGGCAGCAGACCAAGUGGGCGGAGUCACGUUUGAAAUGGCAUGAGGCCGGGUUACGUCAAGUCACAAUCGAGACCCUUGGGUGCUGCAUCUGUACGCUUUAAGUGAAUUGGUUGUAACAGCUCGAGGUUUUGGAAUUAAUGGUUAGCGCCGGCGAUUCAACAGAAUUCUCUUAUUCUAUACUCUCACAAGGCACCGUUUUUGGGCUGUUGGACAAGUUCAAUCCUGCAAAAAAUGUUCCUUUAUUGAGAUUCCUUUAACCCCUCAAAAAAAGAAAAAAAAAAACAUGUAGAUUGAAAAUUUUGGUUUACAGUGAUAUCAUACUAUAAGCGACCAAUAGCUUGUUUGUUUACAUCUUAAGGAGUAAUUUAAAGAUAGGAAUGAGUGUUUCUUUUCACAUACAUAAUAAUAUACAUUUUGAGUGCCGUAAUUUGAUAGGAAUAUUAGCGCAUAGAAGUGAUUUAUUGCUCAUAUUUUUUCCUAAUGCUGAUUAGACCCAAGGUGUAUCAUUAAUCAGGGAUUGCAUAUUUUUAUUUUAUGUGUGUAUUUUUAUUUUUGAAGUUCAUGUAUCCACUCUGCUACAUAAUUAAAAGCUAACUGUUGUUUGUAUUCUUCUUCUUCUUCUUUUUUCGGAGGGCAAGUUUGGCCUACCGUCACUCAGGCCGUGCAUUUGAGGGCAAUUUUGUAUCUCAUCUUGUCUGAUUUUCUUUCAUACUAACCCUUGGUUACUGCGCAAAAUGUUCUAGGUGAUGAAUCAAAGAAUGCCCAUUUGAAGAAAUUGGAGAACGCUUCGGAAAAGUUGCAACUCUUUAAAGCAGACUUGCUUGAUUAUAACAGUGUCGCAUCGGCUAUUGCGGGCUGCGAAGGUGUCUUCCACGUUGCUAGCCCUGUUCCUCCAUCCAAAGUUCCCAAUCCGGAGGUAUGAUGUGUUCUUUUCUUUUUCCUCUCUCUCCAUGCAUCGUUUCUUUCGCCCGCGUCAUGCUUCAAUAUGUGGUUAUACAAACUUUGCGAUUGUACGAGGCAGUAAGAAGCUUUCACAUGCCAAAUUAGUAUGUUGUCAGCAUACUUAUCACCUGUACUUGUAUAUAUUUGGCUCUGAAGCAUUCAUGCAACUGUGAUUGCGUGCUAAGACUCUACUAUAAGGCUAUGAGUGAAGUGCUCUGAUGGUAUAGACUGAUCAAUGGCCAGUUUUGCCUGAAAAAAUUGAUUUGAUAGAAAACAACAUUGUGUUGUCUUAGAACCCUCUCACGUGCAUAAAGAUAUCUAAGGCUCAAGGAAUGGAGAAAGUAAGAAAUGGGAGCGCUCCGAUAUUAUUUUACCCAAAAGAUCGAUUGGAGAGGAUGCGUCCUUGGAAUUGUCUUAAUAGCUAGCAUCAUGUACUCUGUGCUUGUUGAUCCGUCGCGUUAUUCAUUUAUCUGAUAUUCUCCUCUCAUCGGAAGGAGCUUGAUGUCUAAAUCUAGUGUAGUUUGAUCACGUGUUUUUAACUUUGCAUUUCCAUAUUGAAGGAAGAAGUACUGAAGCCUGCUGUGAAUGGCACUCUAAAUGUGUUGAAAGCGUGUGCUCAGGCAAAAGUUAGGCGAGUUGUUGUCGUAUCAUCUUGUGCGGCUGUCGGAGUGAUCCCAAAUUUGCCGAAGGGUAAGAUCUUGGACGAGAAUUACUGGUCAGACAAGGACUACUGCAGAAAAACUGAGGUAUCUUGCAAGCAUUUCUAGUCUACUAGUUUUUACUGUACUAUAUUUUUAUAAAGACAGCUGUUGAUAAUAUUUAGUAUCUACUAAUUAUUAUGUUCUGUACAGCAUAUUCCUGCAGUCUGGUCUUGUAGGGAGAUUUGGGCAUGAUUUUGCCCCAAGAUUGCACGACUCUAACCUAGCUAAAGCACUAGGCUUAUUUAAUGAUUCUAGUCAACUGUUGUAGUCUUAGUCAAUAUUUUGGCUUGAAAAAUGCCGCAGUGCAUAUUUUACAAGAAAUGCAAGCUCCAACAUGCCUUAAUGUAUCACAAGUUCAGGUUGGAAACUCCUAAAUGAAAUGGCCAUUCAGCAAGUUGGGUUUCUUGCCCUUCGACCACUAGACCACUUAUGCCAGUCCUGUCUUUUGACCUUCCUGGCACCUUGAAUUAUACCCUGUUCUUUCUGUUUCAUACUUCUCCAAACUCUCCAGCUUUGUGCCUUGUUUUGUUGGACUCUUCUUAACUGAUAUUCGUGCUAUUCUACAUUGCAUAUGCUAAAUAUUGUUUGUACUUACUAUCCCACUAUGAGUAAUUUCUAUUUGUUACUUAAUGAUGUUACCAGAACUGGUAUUGCCUUUCAAAGACGCUCGCAGAGAGUGAGGCGUUGGAUUAUGCAGAGAAAAAUGGGCUUGACGUUGUAACUGUUUGCCCGUCUUUGAUUAUUGGACCCUUGCUGCAAUCCACUGUAAAUGCUAGCAGUUUGGUUCUUCUCAAUCUUCUGAAAGGUAUAGAUUGUACAAUGUGAUUAUCUUGGCUUAAUAUCCAAAAAAAGAAAAAAGAUGGAAUGGUUAAGGUAGAUAAUUGGAUCCACAAUUUUAUAUAUCAAAAUGGGCACACCAAGUAUUUGCCUUUUUAUCACUUACGCAAUUGUGCUUGUUCCUUAAAAGUUAUGAUUAUGUUUUCCAAACCAUUUUUCCAACCUAAUGUCCUUUCCCGUCGCAACUGUAAAAUUAUCAGUGUAAUUAUACUCACAGCAAUUAUAGCAUUGUCCUCAUCUUUUAACAUUUACUUUCAGAUAGAUCCCUACUUGACUGAAAACACUAUCUCGUCUUCUUUUGAUGUAUGUUAAUGCAAAGAAGAAUAUACACAAUGCACUAGUUAGUUAUAGUUAUAAUGCGAUUAUGGGUACUGUUACUAAAACUUUUCAUUGCUACCUAUUUUAGCAGGCAAUGACAAUGAUAAUUGGUGCUCAUUAAAUUUGGCCCUCUCUACAUUUGAGCUUGUAAUUUGUAGACCGAAAUAAUUUCUCUUAACCGAAUAUUCUCCCUUUCGAUAAGAAGAUACAAUUCAUCUGAUUAUCAACAUACGCUGCAUAGUUGAUUUUAUCGAUAUCCUCCUUUAUCUCUUCACAUAUACUUGCUAUAAUUGAUUUGCGCAGGAGCGCGUGAGACGAUAGAGAAUAAAAUCCGUCACAUUGUGGAUGUUAGAGACGUCGCCAGUGCUCUGCUUCUGGUGUAUGAGAAGCCUGAGGCGUCGGGACGGUACAUAUGCGCCCCACACAAUAUCAAAAUAAGUGAUCUGAUUGACAUGCUAAAUAGGAUGUAUCCCAACUACAACUACCCAAAGAAGUAAACCCAGGCUUGAUCAUCAUGUCACAUAUUUGCUUCCUGCUCCUACGAAUCUUCGCUUCUUUAACUUUUCUUUACUGUAUAAAUCGCAGCAUUGUCGAAGUAGAUUACGAUGAAGCGACGUAUAGUUCCGAGAAAUUGCAGAAGCUGGGCUGGAAGUUCAGGCUACUGGAGGAGAGCCUCAGGGACAGUGUUGAGUACUAUAAAGCUGCAGGUCUUCUGGAAUAGAAGGAUUACAAGAUCUCUACUCUGACUCAUCUCUCAGUGAGUUAAGAUCCAUACUCAGGAGUUUCUCUUAUUAAAGCUUAUCAAAUUAUGUGCACUUUUGUAUGUGAUAAAAUAAUGCUUUCAAUUUGUUGUCAAACUAGUUAAAUACUUCAAUUGUUGGUUGCUCUUUAGCUUUGCUACCAUGCUUAGUGUAAUGAAUAAAAUAUUGUACUUUAAUUCACAUAUAAUAUAAGAUGAGGUUUUCCUCAAAAAGAUUAAAAAAAAAAAAGGUGGAAUAAUCUCUUGUUCCUGUAUGGGAGGAAGUCAACAGUCAAAAAAGUGAGAUAAAAAUAUAACUUCACUUAUAAUGUUUUUUUUUUCACAUUUAGGUCCUAUUUGGAUGUCGGAGAAUAAGUUAUCUAAGAAUAAUUUAUUAUGUAUAAGAAUUUUCUAAUACGAUGGUAAGUAAGGAGUUUGAUUUUUUGCAUCUUCAAAAAUCUUGUUAUUCAUAAUUUGGUAGGAUUUUAUAUUUUAUCUGUGAGAUGAUUUAUCUUAUUCUGAAAAAAUGAUUUGAAGUUCGAAUACAUUUUAUCACUCUCCUUUAUCAGCCAAAUAUACAAAUUUCUGGAGUAAAUCGAGCAAAUAUAGUGAAUAAGAUAUUCAUGCAUUCAGGCAGAAUUUUAGAGUAAAACAAAGAACGGAAGCCUCACUUAUCUACUUCUCACCCUUGAAUUACUCAGAAAUAAACUCAGUCGGGAAUGUAAAGUAAUUAGACUGGGAAUUUGGAACUGCGAAUACCAACCAAAGCAAUUAUUUUGUUAAUUAUACAAAGCUUCUUUUUCAAGGUGGAUUAAUGGAGCAAUUGUUCAAGAAGAGAGGUGAUGAAUUUGAUAUGGGACAGCAUAACUGAUGGACAUGCAGGUGGCAUGUAUCCACUGUCCCACUUCACUAAAUUAGAUUGGAUAUAUAUAAGCCUCUUUUUACAACAAAGCUAGUUUAAUAAUAGUGGUCUUUCCUAAUUUAGUAAAAAAAGGAAACAUAAAAAAUAUUCUUUCAUUUUACAAAAAGAGAUAUAUCAGUAUAAUCCAUCAAAGUGUAACUUUUUGCUGGUGGGUACUUGGUGAAAGUGACAAUUUUGUGUCAAGUACAUGUACAUUUGGAUGUGAUCUACUGUAGAAAUAUUAUGUGCUGUACAAAAAAAAACUGCUAGGAAAGGAGCACUGUAUAUUUGAAAGUGACAGGUGUUUUAUAAGAAUCAAAUUUUGUAGUUUUUUUUUUUUUACAUUCUUUGUUUAUCAUUCAAAUAGUGGUUUAUAAAAAUAAAAAAAAAAGCAGCUAAAAUACUGAAAAAUUUUAGAAAAAAAUUUAAAUAUUAUUUAUGUGAUUUCACAUUUUCUCACUUUAUCCUGUGAUUUAAAAUGUAUUAAUUUAGUAUCUUGUGAUUUUAUUUUUAUCUUUUUAUUAUCGAUUUUACUAAUUUUUUUCGUUAAAUCAGUGACAAAGUUAAAACUAAAGAGUACUAAAGUGAAUAUUCGAUAAAGCUAGAUGGAGUAUUUCAAGUUUUUUAUAUAUAAUUUAACGAAAUAUUAACGAAAAAACUGACGAAAAAAUAAAAAUAAAAUCACAGAACACUAACUUGAUACACUUUAAACCGCAAGGUAUUAAAGUGAAAAAGUGCGAAACCACAUGGGUGGCAUUUGAAUUUUAUCCAAAAUUUUAUGUAAACAAUCAUUUUUUUUUUCAGACUUUUAAAAAAUUUAUAUUUUAUUCUCUCAAAUUUUUAAAAAUAUUUUCAAAAGAUUACAGGAUUAAUGGAAAGGGCAAAAUGAUCAAAUUACUUUUACUUGUUUUAUAAGGCAAAAAAAUAAAUUUUUAAUAUAGUUUUGUCAUUUUUAAGAACAUUUUUAGUAUAAUAUCAUAAGAAAUAAAUUGAAUAGUGACAAAACACUGAGAGAGAGGCUACAUGCAUCAAUUUUAAAUUUUGAGAGGAUAAAAUAUAGAUUUUUUAAAGUAAAAACUUUAAAUACCACUUCUGUGGUUUCACACUUUCUUACUUUAGUAUCAUGUAGUUUAAAAUGUAUCAAUUUAGUGCCUUGUGAUUUUAUUUUUAUCUUUUUAUUAUCGAUUCUACUAUUUUUUUUUCAUUAAAUCAGUGACAAAGUUAAAACUAAAAGGAACUAAAGUGAAUAUUUGAUAAACCUAGGUGGGUAUCUAACAUUUUUUGUAUAUAAUUUAACGAAAUAUUCACGGAAAAGCUGAUGAAAAGAUAAAAAUAAAAUCACAGGACACUAUCUUGAUACACUUUAAACCACAUGGUACUAAAGUGAAAACAUGGGAAACCACAGGGGUGGUAUUUUAAAUUUAUCCAAAAUUUUAUGUAAACACUCGCUUUUUAUUUUUUUCAUACUUUAAAAAAUCAAUAUUUUAUUCUCUAAAAAUUUUAAAAAUAUUUUCAAAAGAUAAUGGGAUUAAUGGAAAGGGCAAAAUGACCAAAUUACUUUUACUUAGUUUUAUAAGGCAAAAAAAUAAAUUUUUAAUAUAUUUUGCCAUUUUUAAGGAUAUUUUUAGUAUAAAAUCAUAAGAAAUGAACUGAAUAGUGACAAAACACCGACAGAGACUAAAUGCAUCAAUUUUAAAUUUUGAGGAAAUAAAAUAUAGAUUUUUAAAGUCAGAAAAAAUAAAAAAAGUGGGUACUUACCAGAGGUUUUUUGUAUUUUACCCUUACAAAAAAAAGGUGAAAAAUAUAUAAAACUCAUCUGAACUUUGGUGUGCUUUGAUUCAACUAUUUAAUUUUAAAAAAAAUUAAUUUUAGUACCUAAUCUUUUAAUAUAAUAAAUAUAAGUCAUGCGGUAGUUCUUCAGAUAAAAUUUGAUCUACUAUUUAUUUUAAUGAAAUUAUAGUUGUGUAAAUUAUGAGAAAUAUACUAAUAAGAUGCGUGAAAAUAAAUGAUGUAUUCAAAAUUUGAAGUUUAAGAGUCACUGAAUGGUUUAAAUUAAAUGAAUUAAAAGAUUAUGUAGCAAAAUUAAAAUUUUUAAAGGUUUGGCAGUUGCCUUCAAAUGGGUCAUAGUUCAUAUAAAUUCUAUACUUUUUACGAAAAGAAUAUUUGAGUUCACUUGUUCGCCAAGGGGCUGUUUGGUUCCUUGCAAAACUGCGGAAAACAAAUUUCGGUGGAAAAAAAAUUUUCGGAGAAAAAUAAAUUUUACGCUUUAGCGUUUGGUUUGUUGGAAAAGAAAAGUAAUUUUCUGUUACGGUUGUUUGGUUGAAAGGAAAAAAAAAAAAAGAAAAAAAGAAGUUAGUUAUAAAUAAAAAAUUAUUAUUAUUAUUAUUAUAUAUAUAUAUAUAUAUAUAUUAUUUUAUAUCAUUAAUAUUUAUUAAUAUAUAGAAUUAUUAUAUUAGCAUAUAUUAAUAUUAAAUUUUAUAUUUGUAAUAAAAUAUUUAAAAUAUAUUAUACAUAUAAAUAUACUAAUAUAAAUAAUAGUGUGGUAUAUAUAGGAGAGAGAGAGGGUAUGCUUUAUGAAAGCACGGAGCCCUCGUGCUCCAAGUUGUUUUCGAUGCUUCGACUUUCGAAUCGCGAUCGGCCUCCGUUAGAGUUGAUCUAUGAGUAUUUUAAGUACCUAGAAAAUAAAUUUUGUGAUUUUUCGAUAUCAUUUGCCUAGUGUUCGAAGCGGCUCAAAAUCAAUAAUUUAACGGCUCGUGGUGAGCCGGUUGCAAGUUUAACGGUGUAGAAAUAUCCAAAUCAUAUGAAAUUUUGAUAGAAAAUUCUUUAAUACGCAUAUAAAACAAGAUCAAUAACUUUGAUUUAAAAUUUAAAGUCAUAUAUCAUCAUAUUUUGUAAGAUUUUAUUUUUCAGCCGUUAAUUUUCAGGCCACUUCGAUCACAUAAGCAAAUGAUAUCGAAAAAUCACAAAAUUUAUUUUCUAGAAUACUUCAAAUAUCUUCUAGAUCAAGUCUAACGAGCGAUCGUCAAUUCGAAAGUCCGAACAUCCGAAAAUCUAUAAGUAGAAGCACGGUGCCGCUCCGUGCUUCCAUAAGCAUACCUAGUCGCACAUUAUAUAUAUAUAUAUAUAUUAUAUAUAUAUAUAUAUAUAAUAUAAUAUAUAUAUAUAUAUACUAUAAUACUACUUAUAAAAGCGUGUAGUUUUGAAUUUUCCCGUCUUCACAAAAUACCGAUCCAUAUUAAUAUAAUUGGAAAUAAAUCACAGCCGUACAAUUUUUAUUUAUUUUUAAAUUAUCAUAAAAUAUAUUAAUUCUUAGUCAUUCGAUUCAAAUCCAAUGACUAACGAAAUUAAGUAUCUGUCACUUUUUUUACCUAAAUUGCCUUAGAUAGUACGUAUAUGUGUUCAUAUCUCCUAGUAACCGCCGCCAACAUAAUAUCAUAUUUUAUCACAAAUAAUAUUUGCAUUUCUUAAAUAUUGCAUUCUCACAUGUAAUAUCCGCACCUAUAAAUAUACAAUCACAUAAUACCUUCAGCAUAUAUAAUAUUUAAUUAUAAUAUUUUAAAGUGAAUAUAUAUAAAAUUAUCUCAAUUUUACUACUAAUACUUAAAAUCUGAGAAUAUUUUUUCAAUAAAAUAUAACAUAUAAUUUACAAUUUAAACUUUUAAUUUGUAGUAAAUAUGAUUCACAAAUUGAUAUUAAUUGAGAUAAUUAUUAAAAUAAUUGUUGACUACAGACAUAUCCUUUUAGUCGGAAAAAAUAUUGGAUUAUAUUUGCGAGAAAUAGAAAGAAAUUUAUAUUUAUCUCAAAUUUUUGUAAACCGAAGAUGAUUUACGUAUUCCCAUAAAAAAUAAUAUUCCAGUACUUAUAAAAAAACGAAAAUUUCUAUGCAACAAACAUUGAAAAUAUUUUGUAUCUACUAUCUCUCAAUUAGCUAACUAAAAAAAAUUAGAUUUGAAAAAAAAUAAUUUAAAUAAGCUUAUAAAAUCAGCUUUAAAUUUUAAAUUUGGUUCAUAAUUUCAAAUGUGAAUUAAUAUUGUAGGUGUGUAAACAGUAUUUCAAAUUAUAAAUAAUUAUUUAACUUGAAAAUAUAUCAAAUUUAAAAAAUAGAUGGGAUGAUAAAUAAAUUAAUGUCUUUAAUAAUUAUUUAUAUUCAAAUUAUGGAUUCAAAAUUAAUUUCAAAUUUUGAGUUUUAUUCAUAAAUUUAAAUAUGAAUUUAUUAAUUUAAAAUUUAGAAUUAUUUUAAAUUUUUAAAAUUUGGAUACAUAUUAAAAAAAUUAAUUUUAGAAAAAAAUUAACUGAUAUAUAAAUUUAUACCAUCAAUAAUUAUUUAAAUUUAAAUUAUAAAUAUAAAUUUAAUUUAAUUAAAUAUUACGUGCAUUGCACGUGCACUAUAACUAGUAUAUAUAUAUAUAUAAGUGGGGCACAAAGAGAGGUCCAUCUCCUCACGCGGUCCACGAGGUGGAGCGGACCUCGUGGACCAUGCCUUUUUUUCUCCCCGCGUCAUGCGCAACGCUGCGCGUGGACCUCGCCUCACGCGGUCCACGAGGUGGAGCGGACCUUGUGGACCGCGCCCUUUCUUCUCCCGCGCGGCGUGCGCAAGGCCGCGCGUUUUCGUUUUUCGCUCGAAUUACCCUUGUUUUUCUAAGAAUCUGUAAAAAAAAAAAAAAAUUGGGAAAAUUUUUUUACGAGCCACCAAACACAGGAAUUUCACUUUUCAACCGAAAAAAAUUUUUCGGAGUGAUUUUACGAGGAACCAAACACAUCCCAAAUAAAUAAAAUUGAAAAAGCACAAAAUUUAAGUUUUAUAAAAAAAUGUAUAUGCCGCAUAUUAUGUUUCACAAUGUCAAUCGUAAAUGCGAAUGUUGUAUCAUUGAAACAAUAUAAAAUACCAAUAACUUGAUACUCCUAAAAAUAUUCAAAUUCAAAUAAGUUACUUAUACUUUUGUAACGAGUACAUAACAAUUUUGUAACUUUUUUCAACUGUAUAUAUUUAAUAAUACCAUAAUAAAAUUAUUGAUGAUCAACAACUGUUUGAUUGGCUGAUAGAUACAAACUUCAUCUACAAGUAAUGAGUAUCGAGUUUCAAUCAUGAUUCAAGUAUCUCAUGCUACAAAUGUGAAUUAGGAGACAUCAAAUCGGCCACGUGGUGUUGUACAAGAUGCGUCGGAUGUUUAUUUCAUUUUAUCCUAAUAAUUGGCCUAUGUACUAAUAAUAUUUUUUAAAUUUAAAAACAAGGGAAAACUUCAAAAAAAAAAAAAUCAUGUGGUUUCGUAUUUUUUUACUUUAGUACCCUAUAGUUUAAAGUGUAUUAAGUUAGUACCCUAUUGUUUCGCACUUUUUCACUUUAAUACCAUGUGGUUUCAAGAAAUCAAGUGUAUCAAGUUAGUACUCUGUGGUUUCAUUUUUAUAUCAAGUUAGUACCAUGAGAUUUUAUUUUUCUCUUUUUAUUAUUUAUUUCGGAGUAUUUUUUUUCGUUAAAUCAAUGACAAAGUUAAACUAAAGGAUACUAAAAUAAAUAUUCGAUAAAAAACCCCAGGGUACUAAAGUGAGAAAAUGCGAAACCACAGGGUACUAACUUGAUACACUUUAAACCACAGGGUACUAAAGUGAGAAAGUGCAAAACCACAGGAUACUAACUUGAUGCACUUUAAACUACAGGGUACUAAAGUGAAAAAGUGCGAAAGCACAGGAGGGGUUUUGAAGUUUUUCCUAAAAACAAACAUAUUGAACCAAGUCUAAAAAAAUUAGUAAACAAAGAUGGAAGGAUCAAGUUCAAAAUAUGCCAUAAUUGAGGGUUUAUCCGCAAACUUUUGGUAAAAAUAGAUGGAGAUCCCUAAAACUAUAUUCCAUAAUGGCCCCUUGACUUUUUUUUAUUCUAUAUAUUAAGACUUCUUUAACUUUUGUUGUUUUAUUUUACAAUUGAAUAGUUUCAGUAACUUAAGUUUAAAACUUUAUUAAAAGUUACAGUUAGAUAUAUUAAUUAACUAUUUAAUUAUUUUAAUUAUACUUGAUUUCUUAUUUUGCUCUCUACUCUUUUAUUUUUUACAAUCAAAUUCUGAACUUUAAUUGUAAAAAAUUAAUUGUACCAGUCACUAACAUCAACUCCCACUCCUAUAUGUGCACACAUCACAUCAACCCUAAUUUCACCAAACUCAAUAUGGCCCUCCGUGCCAACUGUCUCUUUUGGAACAAAACACUUUUAGGGCCUGUUUGUUUCGAAGGAAGUGAGGUGGAAGUGUGACGGGGAAAAUGAUUUUCGGUGAAAACUCACCACUUCCGCCGUUUGGUUCACCGUAAUUUUAUUACGCCCGAAAGUCCAGUUUACCUAAAAUAAUGAACUUGACUUCGCCCUCCCAUGGGGCGAAGUCAAUUACGGUGAAGUGAAAAAAAGGCAAAAAUAAAUUAAUGUGUUAGGGUUACCUCUUCUAAAAUAUGAUCAAAUUUGAUUAGAUAAACUUUAAUAAAUUUUUUGUUUAAUUUGUAUAUUUAGAAAAUGAUGAAAAAUGAAUUUGUUAAAUGUUAAUAAUUUUUUAACUUUAGAAUUUUAUUUGUUGCAUUAUUAUAAUUUAUAUGCAAACAAAUAAUAUAAUUUUUUAAAAUUUUAUUUUAUAAUUAUACAUAUAUAUAAUUAUAUACAUAUAUAAUUAUAUUAAUUUUUAUUUAUUAUAAUUUAUUAUUCACUAUAAGUUACAAAUAGACAAUGAUAUCACUUUGAAGGUAAAUAUACCGAGGGUGGAGAGCUACAUUUUUUACGUCAUCUACUUUCUACCAAACAAACAACAGAACUCACAGAACUGCACUUCCACAGUUAAAAACAAAUAGCAGAAGUGAACUAAUUUUCACCCCAACUCCACUUCAACUCAAAGUCCACUUCUACCCCAAGUCUACUUACGUUGAAACAAACAUGCCCUUAGCCUCCGUUUGGUUCGGGGUUAAGAAAAAAGUAGCUAUUCCAGGAAGAGGGUUAAGUUCAGGGUUAAAGUGUGGUUAAAAUUUUUUUGUGUUUGGUUGGGGGUUGGAGUUAGUCUAGAAUAAUGAAAAAUAGUGUUUGGUUGGAGUAGGUGGGAUAAGAAGAUAAUGAUUGAUAAAGAAGGAUAAUGAUUGGUUGGAGUAGGUGUGAUAAGAAAGAUAGUGGGUUAUUAUGAAUAUAAAAUAGUGUUUGGUUGGAGUUUGGUGGGGUUAGGUGGAGUUAGCUAAUCUGGAAUAAUUUAUUUGAGGACCCCACCCAUUUUUUGAGGUGUUUGGGAAUAAAAUGAAGGUUUAGGAGUUAUUCCACCCCUUAACCCCCAACCAAACAAGGGCUUAAGUACUGAGCCAAAAAGUGCUAUCAAAUUCUUCUAAAAAUUUCAAAAGAUUAGUGCGGAGAUUGAUUGAGAACUAUCGAAUCAUAACUAUAAUCUAAUAAUCUGUAUAAGUAAGCAAUGCUAUAUUGGAGUCUGAUGUGUCCUGGCCUAUCUCAUCAAAAUUAACUAAAAUUUAGAUUUUCGUGAACUAACAUAAAUUAAAAUAUAAAAAUUAGGAACCCAAUAGCAAAAUAAAAAUAAAAAUCGACGAUACUUAGCGCAGUUGACUAAGAGUUUGAUGAUUGAUACUCCAGUUUCAAGUUUGAAGCCUAAUUGCUUCGUACUUUUAUCCGAGUUUUUUCUUUUUCUUUAUAAUAAACUUAACUGGCAUAAAAUAUGAAGCCUAAUAAAAAUUGACCAUAUUUAGCGCAGCUGACUAAGGACUUAAUGGUUGGUACUCGAUUUCUCAAAUUUGAAGCCUUAUUGCUUUAUAUUUCUAACUGAGUUUAUUUUUUAUUAAAGCAAAAUCAAGCAGGUUUCGAACUUGGGAUCUCAGAUACCAACUAUUAAGCACUUUGCUACUUGUGCUAAACACUCUUGAUGAGCUUAUUUUGUAAAAAAAAAAGAAGAAAUAAAUAGCUUGCAAUCUUUCUCUUAACCAAAAAAAUAAAAAGAAAAAAAACACAAAAACAAAACAAAAAACUUCAGAGAGCAAAGUGAAAAAAGGAGAAAGGUUGGGGACUAAAUGACCAAUGGUGCAAUUUAUUUAUUAAUUAAUUAAUUUAGGAAAAAUUUCAAAAACCCCCAUGUGGUUUCAUACUUCCUCACUUUAGUAUCCUAUAGUUUAAAGUGUAUCAAUUUGCUCCCAUGUAGUUUUAUUUUUAUCUUUUCGGCAAUAUUUUCUUAAUAUUUCGUUAAAUUAUAUACAAAAAAAACUUCAGAAACCCACUUAGAUUUAUCGAAUAUUUACUUUAGUACCCUUUAAUUUUAACUUUGUCACUGAUUUAAGAAAAAAAAUAAUAAUAAAAUUGAUAAUAAAAAGAGAAAAACGAAACCACAGGGGAGGCAAAUUGGUACACUUUAAAUUAUAUAGUACUAAAGUGAGAAAGUACGAAAUACAGGGGGUUUUUGGAAGUUUUCCCAUUAAUUUAUUUAUUUGACCAAACUAAUAAUUAAAGAGCGAGGGGUCGAUGGCCCACGCUCGCUCUCUCUUUCUCUCUCUCUCUCUCUCAUCUUCGCUGUGUUCGCGACUCCGCAUUUGAGAGAGAGAGAGCGAGGAGGCGAGGAGGAGAGAGAGAGGAAGAAGAAGAAGAAGCUCUCUCUCUUUCUCUCUCCCAUGGUGAGCGUCUUCUUCUUCUUCUUCUUCUUCUUCGUCGUCCUCUUCGCCUCAUCCCACCACCGCCACCAAUCGAACAAACCCUUGUCGUGUUUCCCUGAUCGCCAACGAGCCCAUUACCCCUUUUGACCCGACCAUCUCCUCCGCCCUGUAAAGCUACCGCCUUGCCGGGUUUAGUACUGGUUGAACCCCAUCUCCUCAAUCCUCCUCUUGCCGCGCCCCCUUUCCCCUCUCCAGUUCGAGCUCUUCUAGGGUUUGCCUCUGGGCAUGAACCCUCGGCCCCCUCCGAUGGCGCCGCACGCCGGGGCGGGGGCGGGGGCGGGGGCCGCCCCGGCUCUCCACUACCUGAACUCGCCCUUCGGCGACACCACCAGGACGAAGGUGUUCGUCGGGGGGCUCGCGUGGCAGACCCAGAGCGAGGGGCUGCGGCGCCACUUCGAGCGCUACGGCGAGAUCCUCGAGGCCGUCGUCAUCUCCGAUCGGUACACCGGCCGAUCCAAGGGAUACGGCUUUGUGAGUCAUCGUCGUUGUUGUUAUCGGAAUUUCGUGAAAAAUUCGAUCUUUGCGGGUGUUAAGGGGCUGAAUCUUCAGGUGACUUUUCGGGACGAAGAGUCGGCGGCGAGGGCUUGCUUGGAACCGGCUCCCGUAAUCGAAGGCCGACAGGCCAAUUGUAAUUUGGCUUCGCAAGGGCGGCCUCGACCGGCACCACCCUAUGGUAGGCCUUCUUCACCUUAUAAGUUGUAAUGCAAAAUCUCAUAUAUCAAAUGCCUCUUUAAAGGUGCUAUUUUUGGUGCUUUUAGUUGAUCAGUGAUUAGCCUUUUCCGAGUUGUCUAUGAAACAUGUCGGAAAAAAUAACUUGUUAUCAUCUUUUAUGUUAUGAUGCAAGCAAUCUAUGUGAUCUCUCACUUCAAGUUGGUAUAUUCUGAUUCUUGCAUUUAUUUGCUGUUGUCUUGUCUUUGUGGAAAUUAUUCCGAUAUGUUGUUUGUGGUACACGCCUAAAACCCUAGGGUUACUACACUGUAACCAUUCAUUUAAUUUUGUUUUUCUUCAUGUGGGAAUUUUCUCAUCCACCGGUUUAGUCAACAGUAGAUGAUUAUGAUUCGUCCUAGAUGCUUAUAUUUUGCUUCCAAAAAUAGGUAUGAAUUGACCCAACAGUGACUUAAAAAGAAAAAAUUUGUCUAGGGUAGCAAUUUGAGAUUAAUGUAGAGCAUGGAUGCUUUACUAUGGAAGAACCACACCUGAUGAUAUGGACAAAGAAACACUCGAGAGGAGUUCGAAGUAACAUGUAGUCGAGAUGUCGCCUAGAAACUCUAGCACUAAUUAGGGAUGUCUAACGCUGGGCCUAGGUUGACCGUUUUGGCAUUCCUACGUUAGAGCCGCACUGAGCUUGGUUUUUGAAUUUAUUUCAUUUAUUCGGAAAAAUGAUAGUGUUUGGAGGGCUUUAUAAUGGGAAUGUAGCAAGAGGGAGGCUUAGGUUGGCCAGAUUUGGUUCACACCAUGACAAGUUGGAGUGGAUAACCACGGUUCCUGGCAUGAGUCGAUUGGACCCAUUAACACCUUGCACUGUGAUGCUACAUCUUGUAGAUAAGUGGAAACCUGCGAGGGGAUCUCAUGGAUACGUCAGUAAAUUAUAUGCUUCAUGUUUGGAUUGUGGAAGCUUUUGAAGAUAGAUAUUCCUGGUCCAUCUGAUCCGUUAUCUUCAUCAGUGCUUUUCAAAAUUUGUCGGUGUCAGACGGUAGAUGUAUUUUCUUUGAAAAGAUAAUUUUGAAAACGUUUUUGAGAGCUAAAGUUGGAAAUUGUCUAUUUGAAGAGUAAAUUGAGCAUUCUUGGAGAUGUAUUAGAAGUAUUGUUCAAAUAGAGGGUGUCUAGCAUGGAGGAUAUGAACUUUUAGAAUUUUCUUAGUGGUUGAAAAAAACCUGUUAUUUGCCUAGUUUAAAGUUUUUGGAGAGAGUUAAAUAAUUACUUAGAUCCUAGGUAUAUAUUUGCCAUCUUUUCCUUGUUGUUCGUAAUACCUGAAGUUUUGUUUGUAUCAUUUGUUGCCAAUAACCAAUAAUUAUCCUCUUUUCUAUAUGGGAAUCUUUUAGUCAGGCCUUUCUGUCUUGUCUACGAUAUUUCGUCGCACCGAUUUGCACAACAUAUUUUGCAUGCUCUAUUUUUCAUAGUCUGCUUGUAUUAGUGUUAUGAUAAUUAAUGGCGCUUGAGAACAUCUAGAAGUAUGAUUUAUCAACUUCUGUCAUGAACUUUCCUUUUGUUUCAACUAGGUGAUGGCAGCACAUUUGUCAAAUUGGUGUGGUGUUUGUGGUCCUAGUUUUAUUUGUCGAUUUAUGAUUCCACAAAAAUUUACAGGACUUCUUGGCAGGAACUUAUGAUCCUGAUAUGGAAAUUCCAGUGCGUCUGGAAGUUGAUAUUCGAGUUCUUGGUCGAAGCCGAAUACAACGAUGCUUUGAAGUGCACAAGAAUGAAUGCUGCUGGCAUCCAUGAUUUUGACCUGAAAAUUGGAACAUUUAGAGAAUCCAGAUGGUGAGAGAGAACAGUUUGGGAUCAGAGAGGAAGUUUGAGCUAAAUAGAAGAUAAAGACUAGUGAUAAAUCAAAGCAAACAGGCUUAAGAUGAUGGUGAUAGUUUAGCCAAGAAACCAAAAUCGCUUUUUAAGAAAUCACUUGCAUGAGCAUGAUGCUGAAUUCUUAGUUUUGUCAUAUGAGAUUGGUGUAACAAGUGGAAGUUAGUGUUAACUGACUGCUAGGAGGUUGAACUACUUCUUAUGUGAGGUCUUGUGGCCAACAAAAGAUUCCAUUUUAAACAUACACCUUGUUAUCUUAUGCUGCUAGGAAGUUUUGUUUUGCUUUAGAUGUUGGUGAUAGGUGGUUUGGGGCAAGCUGAUAGGCUUAAUUCUUGUCCACUCUCGUUAGGCUCGAGUCUUAUUUGCUUUACCUGUUGACUUUCACCUCCAAUACUUGUUUUUCUUCUUUGUAUUUCAUAUGUGCGUAUAUGUGUGCUAUUUUCCUUUUUUUAAUUGGUGUGCAUAUAGUGGUUUUUGUGUGUGUGUGUGUGUGUGUGUGUGUGCGCGUGCGCGCGCGCGCGUUGGGGGAGACUCAAGAACGUAAGUUCCUAAACCCAAGGGCCCCAAUUAAUUUCUUACUUCUUUGACAAUGGCCGGUCUCUUCUUCAACAUUUAACCAAAUAAGAAACCACUGUUUAUCAGAUAUUAGUACGUUCUUAGUACUGCACAUCACUGACUAUGGAGUGUUGAGGGAAAACAUGAGCACUUUGAUAUAGAACUCUCAUUUGUGGUUUUCUACUUACUGCGUUCUGUUUUUCAUGUAUUUAUGUGUAUGUCUCAUUUUAAGUAACUAAAUGCGGAUCGUUUUCUCCUUUUCUUUUGGAAUAGUGCACAUAAGGCCGGCAGCCCCUUACUCCGGAGGCUUUCCAGUUCCUCGUGGCUCAUAUGUUGGAAAUUCCACUUAUGUACAGACAUUUCCAUACAACUACCAACAAGCCAUUCCAUAUCAACCAUAUGGGUAAGUUAUUCUACGGACACUUUAUAGUCUUUACAAAUGUCAAAUAUCUUUUCAAGUGAAGUAGGGAAACUUGGAUUCAAAAAUGCACACAGCCUGUCUAUUUUACCACUAAGAUUGGGGAAAAAACGUAAAUUGCUAAUUAGCUAUAGUAUGUUGUUAUUGACAUCGAAUUUGCCUUUAUUCUUAUGUAUAUUAUCAUUAAAAUCUUAUUCAUUAGUCAAGUGUUCUCUCGUGCAGGUAUCCAGCAUUUGGACCUGAAUAUGUAUACCAACAGGUUUGAGUACUUAAGAAUCAUAUUGACCAUAAAUCUUUCUCUGGGAUCCAAGUUAUUCUUCUGCUAGUUAAUGAUUCUCUUUUCUUUUCUAGAAUGUCUAUACUCCUUAUACAGGACAACAAUAUCUUCAAUUUUAUGGUGCACCCGGAAUGGCAAACCCAGCAGUUAUCCCAUAUGGGCAAUUUGGCCAGCCUCAACCUAGUAGUCCGGGUUUUCCAACAUUUCCGAGUUAUGCGUUGCCUAGUCAUCAUCAGCUUAUGCAAUUGACUGGUCCAACUGUCAAUGGAGUAACUACUGCACCUGCAACUCCUAUUCAGGCACCAUAUCCCACAGGCAAGCUUCUAAUCAACUACUCUAUGCUGUAUUAAACUUAGCUGAUGUAUAUCCAUGGUAAUGCAGUUCUAUAACAAAACAUAUUACUGCAUUCAUAUAUAUACAAUGUCCUUUUAGAUUCUUUCUAAAUGGUUUUAGAUAGACGUAGAAGUGAAUAUCUUAGCAUUUCUAGAUAACAGCUUGUACUCAUGUUCUGAUGGGAAGCAAAAAUUUUAAACAUUGAAGUUUUUUGUGUUGAAUGUUGGGUCCUUUUUCGUGACAAAAUUUUAAAAAACACCGUGAUCACAAAAGAUAAUAUGAGAGUGUGAUAUUGCUCCUAGGAAGUCUAGUUUUCGUUUUUUGUUAAUAUCUUUAAGUGUAGGGGAUUACAGAAGUGAGGAAGUGGGCUUUAAAUCAUGGUUUGUGGCCAAUUCUUUAUAUUUCUUCUUUGCUGUUAGUGUGAAAUCUACUUCCUCAUCAUGCUUCUCCAUUCCAUUGUCUUCUCACUUUCCGUCACUGCAGCUUUUUUCUUUAUCACAUAAUCAUUUUUGCAUAUCUGUUACUGUUAUUUUGUUUCAGAAGCUUUUCAUUUUUACUUUAGUUUAGCUCUCAAACUGAUAUUGAGCCAGUAAUAAUUGAUGAUACUUCUCUUUUGCAGAGGUUACAUUACUCAUUUUAAAUAAAAAUCAAAAUGUUAGUAAAAUGUGAUGAUCUGGCAUCCUUCUGUUCGUGUGACUUAAAAAGAGUUCCAAUCGAAUUUAUCAUCUUGUUGACAUACUAAUGGUGCUACUUUCCUGUUUGCAGUCUCAAUCUUUUAAGAACAUCAAUACAUCGUCUGUCUUUGUUAGAAGAAUCUGACGUUUUAUUUCACAUGCUUCCAUUGCUAUGAUUGUUAAUGAAUUACUUUUUUAACACGCUUUAUGCAUUAUUGAUACAACAUAAAAAUUAGAAGACAAGUUGGAGAGCGUAAAUGAAUGUUUUACGUAGGGAUGCAAACGGGGCGGAUCUGGGGGCGGGAGACCCGCCCCGCCUCCCGCCCCGACUAGCAAAAAUCCGCCCCGCCUCCCGCCCCGAAUCCGUGACGGGUUAAAAAAUACAUCCCAUAAUCCGCCCCGCCUCGUAACCCGCCUCCCGCCGGCGCCCCGAAUCCGCCCCGCCAACUAAUAUUUUUUAUAAAAUUAUAAUAUUAUUAAUAUUUUGUAAAAUAUAAAUUAAUAAUUUUUAAUAAUAUUAUAUAUAUAAUUUAACAAUAUUAAUGGUAAAAAUUAAAAAUAUCAAUCACAAUUCAAAACAAAAUUCAAAUAUUUCAAAUACAUUAGAAAUGAGAGUAAUAACUUAUUUGUAUUUUAAACUUUUUUUAUAAAUAUAUUAUUUUUUGGGAAUAUUUUUUAAAAAUGCAAAUGAUAUUCGGGGCGGAUUCGGGGCGGGUCAAAAUUUUUCCCGUUUCCUGCCCCGAAUCCGUCUCGGAUCGUAAAACUUACCCCGUUUCCUGCCCCGAAUCCGUUUAUUUUCUCCCAUUUACUGCUCCCGUCGGGACGGAUCGGGGCGGGAGCUCCACCAACCCGGAUCCGUUUGCAUCCCUAGUUUUACGUCCUUUAAUUUUUCUUUUAUAUUUCAAUAUACAUGUAUGCUUUUAUCUUGGAACUAGGUAAAAGGCUUCAGCCUUUUGGAACAUGAAACUUUAGAAUUUCAUGGAUGUUUUUUGCAAUAUUUGGUUGGUAUCUAAAGUCAUUUAGAUGUUGUUUUGCAUUAGAAAUAUUAGUAAAAUACAUUGAAAUAAGGCCACCAGUUUUGUUAUUUUGACUAGCGUAAAUUUGACUCAUGCUAUACUAUACAUUUAUGUUAUUUUAUCACUUAACGAGAUGCAUCCUAUAAUCUAGCAGACUUUUAUUGUUGUAACUAUGCUUUGUUGACUGAUGUUCUAGGAAUAGCAGGUCCACUACAAGGUCAGCCACAGUUAUUCAUCCCUCAUUCAGCACAAUUCAUACAGGGUGGUGGUUCAGAGCGAGCAACUGGUUGAGAGGAGCUUCGUUAUGAGCGACAUUUGGAGGUACCCAUUCAGCCUUAACUGAUAAUAUAAUUUCUUCCAACUCUGUUUGAAGUUUUGAACUGAUUAUAAAUUACUCUUUCGCAGCAGGUAUCCUAUAGAUAUGCAGCAGGACGAAGAACUGCACUGCUACUCGAGCGGCACGCUUCUUUCCUUGCAAGCUAUCAUCUUUUGCAUUCUAGAGGUUAGUUUCUUAUUCUACCUUAUGACUCCUCGGUUUCAAAUUUUCUGUUUAAGCUGAUGGUAAUGGUGAAAAAACAAAUGCAUUCCGUACCUAUAAGCAGCGAAUUUAAUCAAAGAUAGAAGCUAGCACUUGCACCUACCUAGUAGGCUAGUUGAUGGAACACAAGUUUAUUUGCACUUCUGCUGCAACCCAAAAGCAUCACUGUAUAGUUCAGCUGACAGAGGAAGAAUCUAAAUAUUAGAUAAUUAAAUCCCUUCUGAUGUGCGAUGUUGACAAGGAGCAGCUCAGGACAAAAUCUCUUCUAAUCAUUUUAUGGGCCUAAAAUGUUUUUCUUAAAUAUUUCAUUAUUAGUAAUCUUUCGUCUUUUCCGUGAAUUCUAGACUACAUAUUGGACUAGUAAUUCCUGACUUGGUCCUGACUUGGUCUUAUGUCUUUUAGAUUUUCUGAUUCUUUAAACUUCUUCAUGCAAUUGUGAUGUUAGUUGUGACAGCUAUAACAUAUGUGUUCUCAAGAAGCAUGAUCCCUUUCCUUCCUUGAUUUCUCUAUGACAAUAAUAUGCUAUUUUUAAUGCUGUGCUACGCCAGAACACAUUGAUUCACAAUUUUCUUUUAUGGGGAAAUAGGUUGGUUGUCCAUUGCCGUGGUCGCCAGAUGUACCAAGAAAGUCAACAUGGAGUCGCUCCGUCGGAUGGAGCUAAGAGAAGCAGCAAAGAGCUCAAAUAUGCUCUGAAGCCCUGCUUCUGUCAUCAGGUGUCCGUAAAUUCCCAUUCCCUGCCAGAUUAUGUUGAAGAUUGGCGGAGGAUGGACUUGAACCGUCGUCGGAAUUGGAGUCCGCCGACCGGUAUAGGUAAACAUUAGGAGCUAAAUUAUUUUCCGAAGUCCAUGAAGCAAAUCUGGUUCUAUGGCCCUUCUCUUUUCUUAUCGGGUGGUUUUCGCGAUGCGUAUGUUACACACUGGAUGCAAAGUCUCGUAAUGCGAACCGAGUGUUUGCAUGUUUAGCGGGGUCUCUGAUUUGUGUACUUGGGAAGUCUUUUCUGAACUCUUUCAUGUUCAAAUAAGUAGUUGUGCUUUGAGAGCAUGCAGUAGGAGGCUUGAUGCUCUCUGUUCCCUGGUCAAAUUCAAGGUUGUUACUAAUCUCUUUGUUACCAAUCAUAUUAAGCUGUCCAAUAAUUAUGGAGCUUUAUUGGCAAUUCUUUUCCUUCUCUCUCAUGUUUUUCUUUAACUUUGUGGUUUUAUCCCCAUUUCUUUUCUAACCAAAUAAGAAGCCGAAGCAAGGAUUUAAGUACGGUGACAUAGGAUUGUGCUAAGCAUUAGCUAGUGCGGCACAAUAUGGUGCAUGACAUGCCACGUAUUACGACAUACUAUGACAUAAAAUAUUUUCCUUUUUGGCAUUAGUAUAUUCGAGCACUUCAUUAACGCAAUUACUUCCUAAGUUUAAAAAAAAAAGAAAAAAGAGAGAGGAUUUUGAGCUGUGUCACUAGUAGGGAGACGUAUUAUGCCGAUAUCUUGUUGGUAAAGCUAAUGCUCACGGGCACUUAAAUCCUCUUGAGCUAGAGAAUGGUGUUUUUCUUGUGUGCUUAUUGAGUUUGCAAUCCUAUCCAAACUUUGGUUUUUUUAGCAUCUUAUAUCAUAAAUUGUUCUGACUGGGAUCAGUUGUUAAAUUGGUGCAGUUAUUAUUGACAUGGUUUGUCAGGUCCUAUUUUACUCCCAGUUCUGAUCUGCAGUCUGUACUCUGUAGGGUUCUGCUGUUGAGUACAGCACUAAACCCUGAUUUAUUUUUCCUAGAAACAAACUCUUUCUCUGCAACAAAAUUACCAGUUCAGAAACUAAGAACUCUUGAUUUGUGGAGCUCAAAUUUCAUUUCUACUUCUCUCCACCAGCAGAAAUUGCAAAUUUUUUCAUUUCUGCCAAAUACUGUGCUGAAAACCCUAAUUAAAAAGCUCAAACAUAAGUGCUGAACAGGCACUCUAUCGAAAAUAUAGGGGCUGAUUGGUUUCAUACACUUCAAGCUACAAUUUCCAUGCAAUUGCAGCUAUCUAAGCCAAGGAUUUAAGUGUCCAUUAGUACGGGCCGUAUCUAUCGUGCCGUACCGUGCUAACAAAAUAUCAGCACGAUACAGUCUCUGAGCCGAUGGCACAGUUCAAAACUCUCUAUUUUUUAAAUUAGUGAGUAAUUUUCUCAAUAAAAUUCAAAAGAUUUGAUAAAAAUUAUAAUAAAUAGUUAGAAUAUUUUGUUUCUAAAGAAACUAAAUACUACAUGCUAUUAUGUGUUGGCAUAUAUUUAUUUUUUAUGACUGGCACACAUCGGCAUGGCCUAGCAUGCAUCAUGCUGUGUCGUAUCGUACCAACAAAUUUUGAGCACGACUCCGUGCUACGGCACUUAAAUUCUCGAUCUAAGCCCAAAAAAAAAAAAAAAAAAAAAAAAAAAACUGCUUGUUUUGUUGUAGUUGUUGUAAAAUGCUAUUGUUGGACCACAGACGAAAUUCUAACUAAUUUUUUUUUAAAAAAAAUUUAGCUGAAAAUAUAAAAUAAUUAGAGUUCGAAUUUGAAACUAUAGAUGAAGCCCCAAGUGUUGUACUUAGAUUUAUUCCAAAAUCAGGCGUAGUUGAAUUGAGGAGCGUAAUUAAAUUUAUUAAACAAACCAUUCAUCCCCCAGAAGUAAAAAUAAUUUCAUUUUCAUUUUGGAGGAAACAAGCAAACACUAAGUAUUUUAUUUUAGAUUUUUUUCAAGUAAAAUGUGGGCAUAUAUUUUUAAAAUUGUUUUAUUUUAUUUUUAUUUUUAUUUAAAAAAUGUUCUGUGGGAGGCGAUCCAUUAAAUUUAGAACGAAAAAAAAGGCUAAAACACGGAAAACUCUCCUUAAACAUUCACUUUUUUACUUUUUUUUAAAUUUUCAAAAAUCUAUAUUUUUCUUUAAAAUUUCAAAAAUACUUUCAAAGGAGAGGGUGAAUAGUUCUUACUUAGUUUAUAACAAAAUUUUUUAAUAUAUUUAUAUUAUUUUUAAAAAUAUUUUUAGUAUAAAUUAUAAGAGAUGGAGCUGAAUAUAUAAACAAGAUAUGUUGAGGAGUAAAACGUAAGAUUUUGAAAUUCAAAAGAGAAAAGUAAAAAAAAAAAAAGNAUUUAUUUAACUUUCAAAAAAAAAAAAAAAUCACAUUUUUAACGCGAUUUGUGAGAAGGUGGAGUACUUCUACUAUUUCCUCGACUCAUCGUAUCCCGUGAAACCUCUUCUCUUACACUUUUCCUCUCCCUUUUUACGAUCUAGGUUAAAAAUCUAGGGUUUCCGACACAUUGAGUAAGAAAAACAUGUGUUUUUGUUGCCUUUCCGAGUUCUUUCCUUUUUUUCAUAAUUUUUUCUGGUGAUUUUAAUACUAUUCGGUGGUUUAGGUUCGGAGUAACUUGAAAAUCUGGAGAAUUCCAAUUUGAUUUUUUUGUUUUAGUUUAAUUCGAUUAGCUGCGGUUGUGAGUAUCCAUAACCUGUUUGAUGAAACGCCUUUCUGAGUUUUUGCUGUCUUUCUCAGUUCUUUCCUUUUUUUCCAUAAUUUUUUUUUUGGUGAUUUUGAUACUAUUUGUGGUUUAGAUUAUGAUAAACGUGAAAAUUUGGAGAAUUCCAAUUUGGUUUUUUUUUGGUUUUGUUUUUGUUUUUGUUUUUAUUCUGUUAGCUGUGGUUUUCAGUAUCCACAACCUGUUUGAUGAAAUGCCCAAGUGACUACAGCUACAUCUUUUGUUUUACGGGAUCAUCAACUGUAAUUUCCCUACAAAAAAAAAUAAUAAUAAUUGAAGAGGCUUUAAUUCUAUUAGAUAAAGGUGUGAUCUUUGAAGGUUAUUUUCAUAAUUCUUUAGCAGUAUGUUGUUAUGAAUCAGGAGCUUGAUGCUUUAUCUAAAAUGUGGCUCUUUUCCUGCUUGAUCUAGGUUCAUUUUGUUACUUAGCUUUUCAGAAUUAAAGGAACUGUGUUGGAGAAUGAGAGUUGAAUCAUAAAUGGAGUGUGUGGUACAAGGGAUCAUCGAGACGCAGGUAUUACUGACGUUUGUUAUAGUUGUUCUCUUUUCCUUCAUGUAAAUAUUUUAAGUUCAAUUGCAAUCGCUUAUGGGGAGUUUAACAGGACGCCACUAAGGAAUAUCUACUAGAAUCUGUAUUGUAGAGGCGUAGCGAAUUUCACUUCAAGUAAAUAAGAGAUGGAGCACAAGCAUUACUAUGCACUGGAAUCGUAUUAUCUCUUAGACCCCGUUUGGGAUUGAGGGUUAAAUAGAGUUAAAGCGAAUAGAGAUAUGUUUUUCUGUUUUCUGCUAGGACCGCAGAAAAUAUAUCAUAAUUGAUUCAUUGUGGUAUGCAGAACGUGAUAUUCGUACGGAAACAAAAUACUAUGGGAUGCACUUUGGUAAAUACCGUGGGAUGCACUUCGGUUAAGUUAGCUGUUGGCCUCCAUUUCAAAUCAAAGAAUAUAAUAGCCUUUUCUGUAGGAUAUUAGUCCAGUCUCCACUUCAAAACAACAUUUGAAAUUCUAACACCAACCGUACCUAGCGCAGUUGGCUGAAGGCUAGAUGGUCGGUAGACGAGGUCCCUUUUUGGAAGCCUAGUUGCUUCAUAUUUCUAGCUAAGUUCAUGUCUAAAAACAUGAACGAAGCGGAUAGCUUGCUAUCUUUCUCUAAAAAGGGAAAAAAAAAUAUUUGAAAUUCUAACCACGUCCUAGAAAGUGCUUGUUUCCAUCGUGUCCUUGUGUCGUCAAGCUCUUUUUCCGAGUAUCACACCAUAUCGAAGACCAUUUUAAAACUCGAUUUCCUCCCUGGUCAUCCAUCGUGUCUUAACGGCCUCCGCAUCUUAGGCUUGCUUUGGGAUUGGCAAAAUUUAGCAAGUGCAAGGUUAGAGAUUAAAUCAUACACCUUCUUUUUUUUGCCCUGAAUAUGAGUCGGUAUAUAUUAAAGAAAGAAAAAAUUGAGAACUAGAGGUAUGAUGAUAUUGGCGGCUUCAUGUUUUUCAUACACGUUUGCACCAUGAGAUUGCUUCUGGUCCUGCUAAUCUGGAAUUUAGUUGGAUGGCAUUUGCUAUGUGAUUGCACUAAUGUCAAAUUUGAAUAAGCCCAACUUGAAGUUUUAGCAUUUCCACAAGCUUCACUUGUUGAAACUGGAAAGUAUGUGAGAAAUGAACUUGAAUGGUGACACUCUUUGUUAAUUCUUAUUAAGGUCGGCAAAUAUAUUUGGACCCAGUAUGCUAGUAUUUAAUUUGCUACUCCGCUCUCAGUUUUUUUUUUUUUUCCCUUUGUCUAAUAUACAUUAAUGAUGUUAAUAACCUUGGCCGUUCUUGUUCUUCCUUAUCUACAGCAUGUUGAGGCCCUUGAGACUCUUCUCCAGGGUCUAUGUGGUGCUCCGAAAGAGCGUGUCAGGGUUCAUGAGCUAUGCCUCAAAAGUGGACCAAACCUCGGUAAUCACUUUGUAGUGACAAAUAUAUGUAUAUAAUAUAUCAGCGCUUCUCGGGCGCAAUUAUUAUAGGUCCCUUACCUUUUCUGUUACAGGUGUGGUGCCCUCGGAGGUCCGUCUCUUGUGUGAUUUAGCACUCCCCACACCAACUUGGUAUCCAUAUAUCAGUUUCAUCUGCUUUUUGCUUAUUCUUGGUGCCUGUUUAGCCUAGCUCCUUUAACAAUUCUUUACCCAAGAAAGCAUAAGUUUCCAGAAACCAGAUCUGGAUCUUUUGCUUUGGUGAGGGGCUAAAAUGAGUUCUUGGGCCUAAAUAGCGGAAGCUCCAACUUGAAGCUUCUGCUUUUUGCUGCAACAUAAAGCCAUUAAGGAGAUUUUUCAAUUCUCCUUUGAACAACUCUACUCCGGCAGGCAGCACUUGUGCAGUUCUAGCAAGGCCAAACAGGCCUUUUUGCAUCUAAUAUAGUCUGCGUGACUAGUUAUUAGUAAUCAUGUAGGACUGUCAGACAUGUCGGAGGUGCCGUGAGAGGCGCAGCAGCUGAGCAAAUCUGCGUGCAAGUGCGACAAGUAACAGAGAGCAAAGCGAGCAAUAAUGUGCUACGCUUCUUCUAUGCCCUGGGAUACAAAUUAGACCACGAGCUUCUGAAGGUGGGUUUCGCCUUCCGUCUCCAGCGAGGAGCACAAAUCACUGUAACUGUGACUUCUGCAUAUAAAAUGCCGAAGCUUCAUUCCACCGACGAAGCCGUGCUCAUUACUCCUAGCAUACAACUGGUGGAAAUUACGGCACCUGCCGCAGCAGAUAACUAUAACGAAGUUGUAUCUGCCGUUACUUCCUUGUGCGAGCAUUUGGCUCCGUGAGUAUCAUCUUGUUAAAAGGGCUGACUUUUGCUUUUGAGUUGUAUAAAUGAUAUUGUAUAGCAAUUUACAUGAGAUUCGUGUUUGACACUGCAGGCUACUGCAUCUGUCAAAGCCCGGCGUUUCAACUGGAAUUGUUCCGACCGCUGCUGCAGCUGCAGCUUCUCUCAUGUUGAAUAGCGGCGGUAAAACCUUGUAGAUCACUGCAGAUUUUUUCUCUUAGUUAUGAAGAUUGUACUAAAGAGAUCUCUGUCAACUGGUGUUGUUCAUGUUGCGUUACCGCAGGUACCGAAACACGUGAUUUAAGAAAACUUAUCUAUGUAUUCAGUGGUAAUGCUCCUUUUUUUUUUUUAUCAAGUAUAUUUAUUUGACAAAUGAUUUUCAGAGGUAAUGUGUUCAUGGUGGGUUGAGAAGAACAAGAAAGUGAACUCUGCAUAAUAUAGAAAACAAGGGACUAGAGAAACAUAAAUCAACAAUGAAAGGGUUCUUUCCAAUGUGAAUUAAUUACUUGUUGCUCAUACAUAUAUCAUCACAAAGUAUUUUCUUUGUAGUUCGUCGUGUGGCAUUUAUUUUUUGUCGAGUUUGCAACACCAAUUACAAGGCUUUAUUAGAGGUUUAACUUGUAGAGAAGCCAUUUUGAUCAAAUGCCGUGUAUUAUUAUACAUAAGAACUACCCCUUACAAUUGUACAGAGUCGAAUUUGUGAAACUCACGAAUUUUUCCGCUCUUUGAAAAGCUAACUUUCCAAGAAAAACUCAGUUUGAAUCAAGAUCAAAAUCUCUUAGUAGGAUGCAGAGGAUUCAACCCUGAGAUUCACCGAAAUAACCUUACAAAUGUCAUCUAAAAGACAAACCGAUGCUCAUCUACUUCCAAUCAAGACUUUCAUAAUUCACCAAACAAAAAGACUUGAAUUGAGAAUAUCACAUUAUUGACUACUAUGAACAGCGAACAUGCGGAGUCUAAACUGAUACACCAAACUCAAAAAGCUUUAACAGCAAAAUGUAAUAAGAUCAAAGACCAAGUCACUGAAAAUAGCUACCACAAGUCUCAGUCUCUAUGUAACAAAUACUAGACUAGAUGGAAAGAGAUUGGACGGAGCGGAAACAGGGAAGAGAACUUCAUCCUCCUCUUCAAAGACCUGCACCGCCUUCUCAUGAGAACCAAUUCGGAUCCUAAGUUGAACCCUAGUUUCUCAUUUGAUAUUUUUCCGGCCACCGCCGCUUCCUGCGAAAGAUCUCUUCCUGGACUUCCUGGAGUCCUUGGAUCCUUCGGGCCGGGAAGGGCGGGCGUUAGGAAGAGGCACACGAUGCUCACGAGCCAAUACAGGGAACCCAGCAGCAGGGAUUCUGGGAAAAAGAUGAAACCAAUGAUAAGAAAGAGAGAGAUACAAAUGGUAUAGCAUAUAAAUAAAAAAAUUAUGAAAGUGAUCAUGCAGCUUAUGCUCGGCGGUUACACAAGCAGAAGAUUUUUCACUCAUAAUCCAACAGAGAGAACAACUACUUUUUAGUAUCUCUUAAUCACCAAACGUAUUUCAAGUUUUUUUUUUUUAAUUCUUUUAAGCAUUUCCCUGGAUAAAACAUUAAAUGGCUCUCUAAUAUGAAAAAAUUCUUUUUCUAUUAAGCAGUUGCAAAAAGGAAAUAAAGCAUAAUAGCCCCUUCCUAAUAGGUGUCUUGCUCUAAUCAUAUAGUACCUUAUUACAAUCAUGAAUCUUAAUUUGCGAUUGAAUUAUUAUAAACUUUGUUAUUUCUUUAAUUUCUUUAUUAUUAGCUUUUUAUCAUAGACAGGGCGAAGCUAGAGCCGAAUACCACCUUGCUUGGCUGCCUCAUAUCGCAGAGUUGUAAUGGGAUUUUGAUUGAUUUGCAAGGAUUUGGUACGAUUUGUUGUAAUACAACCGAACGCAUAAUUUGAGGUCAAAUUUCGUGGGUAUUUACAUAUGUUGUUACUGUUAGUAAUAGAAUAUCCGUAGCCUAAUUCUUGUACCAUGCAACAAAGGGUAUAUGAGAAAAAGUGCGAGAAAUGGUGUAUCUUCUUCGCCUUCCAGGUAUACCAUAUGAAAAUGAAUUUCUCUCUUUUUGCUACAUUACUGAAAGAGCUAAGGGUACACACUGAAUAGAUUUUCCGACUGGUUCAAGCAAUAAAUCAGGAAUCAAAUUCAACUCAACUCCAAUUUAUCCCGAACAGAAAUAUUUAGUUCCUAAUUGACAUUAAUUAAAAUUUUCUGAAUGAAAUCAAACGAAUUCCAUUUAGAUUCGAUUCCAUAUGGAGUGUGCAUAAAAACAACAGUACAGAAAGCUAUACUGCAAUACCUCAUUCUAACCGAGUGGAAACUUUAUCAUAGUUUCCAAAGCUUAGUUUGUAUUAUAAUGUUCAUUGUAACUUGAUUUUCCUUUAGAAUUAGUUUCACUAUGGAAUAGGGAGAAGCUCCAUACAUUGAAUAGAGUAAACCACAUAAAUUCAAUGAUUUAAUUUCAACCAUUUGCUAAUGAAGUUGGCAAGAGAUGAGCAAUAAUCAAAGAAAGAAGGAAGAGCAUAGAUGUUGGCAAAGUGUUCUUACCCACGAAGAGUACGGCAGACUCCUGUACGGCGACGUGAGCACCGAGCGGCCCUUCAGCGUGCAAGCGAUGGCGGAGCGCCAUGUUCUCCGCCGUGCAGCACUGGAGCGCGUAGCUGAGGCGACGGCACUCCGAUUCCAGGUACCUUGUCUUUAUCUCCAGCUCCUUCACAUACAUCUUCUUCCUCUCCCUUGAUUUCAUGGCCGAGUCCCUAUUCCUCAUUUGCCUGAUCAAAUUCCCAACAACAGGGGCCACACAAUUACACAACAACCAACAAUACUUACCAAUGUUCCAUCCAAUACAUAUAAUCAAAAUCAAAUUUUUGCACAAUCCUUUUGUAUUUGUCUCAAUUUACAUUACAAGGCUCAAUUUUUAACUAAAUUCCACAAGAUUAUUUCCUGCAAUCGCAUUUACAUAACAAAAUUUAAAUGCACAAAUCUUGCUUAAUUAAACCAAAUUUUAGCUAACAAUUGUUUUUAAUUACUAAAGCUCCAUCCAAUAUAUAUAAAAUCACAACAGUAACUGAGAAUUGAAACCCCUAGCGGGGCUAAAUCACAAAUAAAUUAUUGCACAAUCCUUCUGUUUUUGGCUCUAUUUACAUUACAAGGCCCUUUUUUUAACUAAUUUCCACAAGAUUUUUCCUGUAUUAGCAUAAACACAACGAAAUUUAAAUGCACAAAUCUUGCUUAAUUAAAACCAAAAUUUACGUUUUCAAAAUCCAAAAUUUUUAAGAGCUAAGCAAUACCAAAUCAAAAGAAGCCCCCUAGGGCUAAUCGUACCUUCUCCUCUUCUUGCUGAUCGGAUCGUCGCCCUCCACAUCAACCACAUCGGCGCUCCCCCUCUUCUCAUCUCCGGAGCCGGCGCUCUCCUCGACGUUCUCCUCCCCCGCGGCGGCACCCUCGCUGCCCACGUCGUCCGACGCGUCGGCGAAGAACCCCGCGAGAAACGCGUCGUCGAAGCCCUCUCCAUCCUCCUCCCCCUCCCCCUCCCCCUCCUCCUCCUCCAAGAGGAACCUCUCGAUCUCGCUCACGUAGGGCGAGAUCGAGAUCGAGCUCGGGGGAGAGUCGCCACCACCCGCGGGGCUCGGAUCGGACGUUGUGGAGUUCGCCGACUCGCACUCCGGCGGAGGAGGGGCGCAGAUCGGGGCCCAGAGGUCGGAUGCGUCGAGGUCAUCGGAAAACCCGGCCAAGAGGUGUUCGACGUCGAAAUCGGCAAGCAAGACGUCAUCUUCCUUCAAAGCUUCAACCACGGCCCCAUCCAUGGCGAAGAAGAAGAGGUAGGUUACAAGGGUUAGCGUUAGGGUUAGGGUUUUGGGGGGAGGGGAAGAGGAUAUAAGGAGGAGGAGACGAGCCCUUCCUUCGUGGAGAAGGAAUGGAAAAAUGAAGAGCGCUUUCGUGGGAAGCUUCGAGUUAUUUAUACUAUUUCGUUUUAGGUGAAAAAUGCAUGGCGACCCCCUCAACUAUGUGCUAUUACGAAGUCAUACCCUUAACAACUUUUAUUUUUUAAUUUAGUCCCCCCAACUUCAAUUUUUUAAAGUUAAGUAAUUAAUUUAAAAUUUUAAAUUAGAAGUUUAUUAAAUUUGUUGAUAAUUUUAUCAGAUUUAAUAGUUUUAAUUGCUUUUACAAAAUAAAUUUAGGUUUGUUAAUGAUUAAUAAGUUUUUUAAUUUAAUUUUGUGUAAAAAUUUAAAUAAAAAAUUAAAAUUUGAGGGAGAAUUUGGGAUAAAUUACCAAUAUCCUAUAGUUGAGGAGUCUCCACACAUUUGUACCCUUCAUUUUAUUUUAUUUUAUUUUAUUUCAUUUCAUUUUUAAAUCAUAAGUCAUUCAAAAUAGCUCGUCAAAGCUAUUCAUAUUUUAAAUGUUUUUAUCGAAUUUAACUGAUUAGAAACAUCUAAAUAAAUACAAAAAAAAAAAAAAAAUUAUGAAUUUCAAAAAAUUAAUAAAAGUUGAAAGGACCAUUUCAAAAAAGGCGGUGCGAGGAGGACCUUUGGAAAAUGUUACUUUUCAUUUUAAUUUUUAUUUGUGGGGCCCAGGGGAUUAUCGUCGUCACUCGACCAAUGGGAACGCAGAGACCAAGCCAAUCGACCAAUAGGAAUGCAGUAUCAUUAACGCUAAAGAAGCACUCUUAAUUACAGAGGAUUACGGUCCAACAAGGUUAUUAACUAUUUUACAAAUCAUAAAACAACUAAUUAAUCAAUAUUGAUUAAUUAUUAUUGCAUCGUAAAUUAUAAUAUUAUUGUAUACACUAGUAACAUAUUAGACGUUCAGUCCCGCUAAAUUGAGUUACAAAAUUUACAACUCAAUUGUAAUAAACUUUAUAGUUUUGAGUGCCAAAAUGUCACACGCCUCGUAGUUUAAGGUCCUAAAGUGGCUCGCCAAAUACCCGUUGGAUGAGCGGUUGCGCCCAAUUUAGUGACUACAGUAUCACAAGAUAAUAAAACUAUAAAAAAAAAAAAAAUUGUCCAAAUUGUAUUAUUGUUAGGGUAAAGAAGUUUAAAUGAUGAUUAGAUAUAAUGUAUCUGCUUCGGCAAUAUCAAAAUAUGCUAUGGAUGUAUCAAAUCCCUAAACUUCACCAUGGGCCAACCCAGUGGGUCAAGUAAUGUAGCUCAAUCCUAGUCUCCUGGGCUUGGCCCAUCACUAGUUUUCACCGUCGAAAACUUUUUAACUUAAUAUUUUUUUACAGUCCCACAUCGAAUAAUGUAAUUGUACUGCGGUCGAGACAUGUAACACGAAAUUAAAAGGAAGGGCUCCUCCACACGAUUUUCUUUAUACAUUUUCUGGGGAUGCUUCUGUCACCUAAAUUGGUUCAAGGUGAAGUUAUUUUCGGCCGUAAAUGCUUACUUUUUUUAUUUAGUUCGUCGUAAGUUAAAUUCGUGGAGAGAAAAUACUUUUAUCUAAAUUUUACUACAAGUAAAAGUAAGUUUCAGCAAAAAAAAAUCACUUACGACCAAACAAACAUGCCCUAAAGUCAAGCGCAGUGUGCACAGUAUAUGUAUCUCGUAUGUGGGCCAUGGAUAUUAAUUAAUUAGAUUAAUUUUUCUUCAAGGAGAGGGUCCACCCAACCAUACCAAUAACUCAGAUAUAUAUCAAACAUUAAGAACUUGCACUGCUGGUUCCCAAACUUUAACUCAAAUUUUAUUUUAGUUUUAAAAUUUUAAAUCUGAUAUUCAAGAGUUUGAACUUUCAACACCAUUCUAUUUAUUUUCUUACACAUUUGACGAUAUUUUGGUUUCGGCCGCCAUUUGGAGUAAAAGUUGUUGCUUACGGUCAGGAAAGCAGCACCGGAUCACAGUCACCAAAAUCAGACGGUCCACAAUCAAUCUCUCUCGCCGCGUCUCUUCUCCGCGAACACCACUCAAUCGGACGGCUCGGAGCGGGCGAUGAUCCCCAGAGAUAUACUUUGCUGAACCCGGUGUAUCCGUACAUAUCCUACACCACAUCGAAUAUUUAUUUAAUGAUUAAUGCUAAAUUCUAAUUUGAUUGACAGUAUAGGAAAAAAAAAAGUUAUUUAAUUUUACUAAAUUUUGGGUGUUUACAAUUUAUAAUUUUUAAAUAUACAAAAAUAUUUUAAAUAUCAUUAUAUAUAUAUAUAUAUGUGUGUCAGUGUGUAUAUUUAAUGUAUUGGGUUUUGCAAAUUUAAUGUAUUCUAAACUUUAAAAUUG
rnacentral:lncRNA from 1 species